rnacentral:lncRNA from 1 species
AGACUUCAUAGCAUUAAGCUCAUCUCAGAGAACUCAAUCUAGGUCAUCCUCCUUUAUCAAUCCUAACGAUCUUCUACAAAGACAUCAUCCAAAAGAUGCUUAAGGACCCUACACUCUCCCUUGUUGGGUGAACCAUCAGCUCGGGGGCCUACACCAAGUACAAGCGUCACUCAAGAAAAUUGGCAAAAAAGGAGGAACUUACAUGAGCUAGAGAAGGAUUGCAAGCUAACUCUAGGUGAAUAUUCCUCAUCAUAUCCAUCAAACCGGGGAGUUGAGCGACGCUUCAACCUGCGCCUACAACUCCGCCCCUUGUCCAUGUUUGACUCAUGGUCCAACUUCUUAGCCACAACUAUCAAAUUAAGUUGGCAGGGGAGUACCAAAAGCGCAUCCUUUAUUGUCCAUCCCCGACCUGGUCCCCUCUUGGUCGAUAGGCAGUGUGAAACUUUGCUGGGCACCACCCGAGAAUUCCACGCCAUGGGUUGGGGGCUCCCGGGUUGGGAGGUCGACAAUUCCUAUUUAAUACACCUUGACAUGCAUUCGUAUGAUGGGACUUCCAUGCAAAUCCUCCAUCGUUGCUGCCAUGCGCGAACUAGACCAAAAUAAUACAAAAACGAACUAGUUAGAAGUCUGACAUAGAGGAUGGAUUAGACAUUCACGCAUAUGACCUAGGAAGCGAAGAGGCCAGUUUGGACACCAGGCCGACCACUCCCUCCUCAAUGAUCGCAGGAGAGGACUUCCUCUUUCUCUUUUUGGUGGUCCCUCAAGGGCGACGCUUGGGGGCUUUAUCACAAACAAGGGUCACAUAGGGGCCUGGGCUGGGGCAACCUCCUACCACCCUACCUAUUCUGCAGGGAGGGGAGGUCUAGAUAUAGGCCAUGUUUGUUUGGGCUUUUGCUUUUGCUUUUGCAGCUUUUCCACUUUGACCAAAAGCCAUAAAAGCUCCUAAAUAUAUGCUUUUGGAGCUUUUAUGGCUUUUGUAGCAAGCUCCAAAAGCACCUAUUUAGGAGCUUUUAUGGCCUUUUUGCCAAAGUGAAAAAGUUGCAAAAGCAUAAGCAAAAGCCCAAACAAACAGGGCCAUAAAGGUGUCAAUCUAUUGCAAAGCUACCAUAAGCAAGAAAUAAGGUGUGAAAGGAGAAAGAAGCUUGGCUAGCCUAAAUUAUAGCGAACUAACCUCAUCCGGGUAAUGACGAUGUGUGAGUGUGUCACACUACUUAGUCAGGUCGACCAAUUUGUAUGUCACCAGUUUCACCGUCCUCCUCGCACCUCCUUCCUCCCGAACUCCUCAGACACUUCCUAGGUCAAAUCCCCCAACCCCGCAUAUGACCACAUCAGGCGGCACCUGAGUUGACGGGCUGGACUCACCGCCUGAUGAACGUCGCAACAAGGGUCUCCCCCGGAAGGCCAGCCACAUGGAGCAUGGCUGCGUGUUUCACGAGCUUCUUUGAUGCAACCUAUUCCUAAAGGUUGGGUCAAGGUUCCCAGGCAUCGCUUGAUGGUGAAGUUGUGGAAGACCGGUAACGUAGGCCCAAGAUUUGAACAAUAGAACUAGUCUGGACGCCAACCUUUGUUGGAGGACGAGGCGAAGACUUUAGCUACCUCUGCCUUGGCAUCAUUCAACAUCACGAGAUGUCGGCGCCCUUGGCCUAUUGAAUAUCAUCUUGAGAAGUGCAUGGCCUCUAGAAAUAGAAUGUCUUCCACAAGGAAAAUGGGGCUCGAUUCCUUGAAAAGCUUCAAAAUAAGUAAUAAAGCUCCCCACUGGAGUAUCCCAUUCAGGUUCAAGUGGUGAAGCUCCAGUUAAUAAUGGAGUAUCUUGGGAGGAAGGGUGGAUAGGCAAGGGGAACCCCGUCUCGAAGAAAAGGUCGAAUACCUCCACCUCCCUCUUUCUCUAGGUUUGUGAACUGCUUCACCUUCGGGCACCUUCCAUCGAGAUGAGGAGAAAGCACACCUGCCGCCACCAGCUUAUGUAUAUUUGGCACCAUCGUCUUCAAAGAAGGCCAUGUCAAUAGAUCUUCCUCGUGUGACCUUUGAAUCUCUUCUAUACCAGCACCUCCAACACCCUCCUGUCCACAUCAGUGGGCACCAGCAACUCCACUGCGAGUGACCCCUAGCUCGCUCUCCGAAAUGGGAGACAAUGACAGAUCUACGGCCUUGGGAUCCAUGUCAGGAGCUGAUGGGGAUGACAUCUACGUUGUGUGGAUAGGAGGGACAUCACAAGGAUGAGAAGUUUAACAGUGAUGGACAAACGACCGGGAGAUAGAGAAAAGGAGGGGCGUCGCAAGAAAGACAAGGGCACCAAGGGCUCGAUGACCUUACCACACCCCUCCCCAGCCUAUCUUAUAGGUAAGGGAGGACCUAAAGCCUCACGUUCGGGAAGCAAUAUGUCAGCAUCUGUGGGACCGAUCAGGACAUCGGUGGGGCCGCCACCGACCCAGUGCGUUAUGAUCGGGAUACAAGACUCAGGGUGGUCGAUUCCCGGAAGUCUCGACUACCAGAUCUCGCCUUCAUGUGAGAGUGAGGGGGGGUUAAACAAGCCACGUGCGCUCCCCCAGGCAAGUCAGACACUCGACGCUCAGGGGCUACUGACGAGGAUGUGCCACGUAGUCCUGUUUAAAUGAGCAACGUCAUCAUCGCCUGGUCGGGUGUAGCACCGAUCAAUCACUCGAGGCUAGGCAUCAGGUCGGGCAACACUCAUGCGAAGGCUGCAAAGUUGGAGGACGCCAAGGCGUGGUGUGGUCUGGCGGAACCGAAGGGCGUGAGCCACUGACAACCCAACCCGAGCCAUGUAACCUCAUUCCAGCUAGAUUUAGAAGGGGGGCUUUGGACCUUCUUAGGGAACGCACAUGAGUUAGGGGUUCUCACCUACCCCUCCUCUUUCCUGUCCGAGGAGAUUGUAACCCGAAAUCACUCUCUCUGACGAUCCUCCUGAUCGUCGGUGAGCACUCGAGCGUACAAACAACCAAAGUUGCGCGUAGAAUCUUACCUCCUACCGAAGGGCUUGAACAAGGGUAAGUCCCCAGUCUCGCGUCGUCCCAUCCUUAUCUGCCCCGCGCACCCGACUCCAAACAAAUACGUCAUCGCUCGAUGGCACUACCGGUCUCAAGACACCGACAAUGUGUAUACAAAUAUUGUUGUAAAUGUAAAAUUAGUUUCCAAAAUAAUAUGAUUCACUAGCUCGCCACGUCAGUCUUCGUAUCUAUACAGUAACUAUAAUCACACCGUAGUAGCAAUCCUCCAGCGAAAAGUACUACUAUACAAACUAAGGUGGAAAACAAAUCUCUCGUUGAGUAUAUACGUAUAAAGUGGUAGCAUCAAUGUGGUACCAACUGGGCAGUUACUAGGCAAUACGCAUGCAUAGCAAUAAAUUAAUUACCUAUUUAAAAUAUAUAAUCCACGAUAUUUAUGAUAUAAUCAAUGAUACACGGUGCUGGCAUGAAUAACUAAUUAAUUACCUGUGAUUGCAACACGUCGAGAGGACUGCUGGCAGUAUCGUGCUCCGAUGCCUCUUUAUCCUUGUACGUCCUGACGCCACCAGAUGCCGUUUGCACGAACUCUUCAACAACAUUGGACUUUCCCUUCUGAUCCAUCUCUCUGCAAAUAUUUACACAUCAACAAACCGUAAAAGUUGAUUUUUAUUUCUCACAAGAAAACUACACGAACAUGUUCAGUCUACUCCUACCGGAGUAGUAGGUAGAAACAAGAGAAAGAAACAUGUGUGUCAAGAAAUUUAAUCAGCACGUAUAUAUAUAGGACGAAAAUCAGAUCUAAUUUUUGGUUGAUAGAAGUAUGAAAAUCAGAUCUAACUGGCUACAAAACAACAAGUCAAACAAAAAUAUGUUAGAUCUAGAUAAAAUGUUUGCUAUAUCACAUAAGGGAGUUCUAAUCAGCGAAUAGAAAAUUAAGCACGCCCAAGAUCUGAUCUAACGUUGCCUUGCGUAAUUUUUGAACAUGUACAAGAAGUUAAUAAAGAUGGGCCAAAGAUGAGUAUAUAGCGACUGAAAAUAAAAUCAGAUCUAGCACUAGAAAAUAUAGCGUCUGGAGAAUAAAAUCAGAUCUAUCGCUCAAAACAUCAGGGACAUCAGACAUGAACAGAUCUAGUUAAGAUGCACGAGAUAUAUUUCGCAAAAAAAGAUGCACGAGAUAUGUAUGUAUUGCUUGCCUUGCUUGAAUUAAAGGAGAAUCCGGCGGAGUAUACAGCACGCAGUAGAGGCUCUUCCGUGGUUCAAAGCAAACACCGACUAGGGAGCCGCUGUCGUAACCAGCAGAGGAUUUUCUCUUGUUCAAAGGAACACGACUAGAGCCCGGAGGAGGGGGAUGAGUGUANNNNNNNNNNNNNNNNNNNNNNNNNNNNNNNNNNNNNNNNNNNNNNNNNNNNNNNNNNNNNNNNNNNNNNNNNNNNNNNNNNNNNNNNNNNNNNNNNNNNNNNNNNNNNNNNNNNNNNNNNNNNNNNNNNNNNNNNNNNNNNNNNNNNNNNNNNNNNNNNNNNNNNNNNNNNNNNNNNNNNNNNNNNNNNNNNNNNNNNNNNNNNNNNNNNNNNNNNNNNNNNNNNNNNNNNNNNNNNNNNNNNNNNNNNNNNNNNNNNNNNNNNNNNNNNNNNNNNNNNNNNNNNNNNNNNNNNNNNNNNNNNNNNNNNNNNNNNNNNNNNNNNNNNNNNNNNNNNNNNNNNNNNNNNNNNNNNNNNNNNNNNNNNNNNNNNNNNNNNNNNNNNNNNNNNNNNNNNNNNNNNNNNNNNNNNNNNNNNNNNNNNNNNNNNNNNNNNNNNNNNNNNNNNNNNNNNNNNNNNNNNNNNNNNNNNNNNNNNNNNNNNNNNNNNNNNNNNNNNNNNNNNNNNNNNNNNNNNNNNNNNNNNNNNNNNNNNNNNNNNNNNNNNNNNNNNNNNNNNNNNNNNNNNNNNNNNNNNNNNNNNNNNNNNNNNNNNNNNNNNNNNNNNNNNNNNNNNNNNNNNNNNNNNNNNNNNNNNNNNNNNNNNNNNNNNNNNNNNNNNNNNNNNNNNNNNNNNNNNNNNNNNNNNNNNNNNNNNNNNNNNNNNNNNNNNNNNNNNNNNNNNNNNNNNNNNNNNNNNNNNNNNNNNNNNNNNNNNNNNNNNNNNNNNNNNNNNNNNNNNNNNNNNNNNNNNNNNNNNNNNNNNNNNNNNNNNNNNNNNNNNNNNNNNNNNNNNNNNNNNNNNNNNNNNNNNNNNNNNNNNNNNNNNNNNNNNNNNNNNNNNNNNNNNNNNNNNNNNNNNNNNNNNNNNNNNNNNNNNNNNNNNNNNNNNNNNNNNNNNNNNNNNNNNNNNNNNNNNNNNNNNNNNNNNNNNNNNNNNNNNNNNNNNNNNNNNNNNNNNNNNNNNNNNNNNNNNNNNNNNNNNNNNNNNNNNNNNNNNNNNNNNNNNNNNNNNNNNNNNNNNNNNNNNNNNNNNNNNNNNNNNNNNNNNNNNNNNNNNNNNNNNNNNNNNNNNNNNNNNNNNNNNNNNNNNNNNNNNNNNNNNNNNNNNNNNNNNNNNNNNNNNNNNNNNNNNNNNNNNNNNNNNNNNNNNNNNNNNNNNNNNNNNNNNNNNNNNNNNNNNNNNNNNNNNNNNNNNNNNNNNNNNNNNNNNNNNNNNNNNNNNNNNNNNNNNNNNNNNNNNNNNNNNNNNNNNNNNNNNNNNNNNNNNNNNNNNNNNNNNNNNNNNNNNNNNNNNNNNNNNNNNNNNNNNNNNNNNNNNNNNNNNNNNNNNNNNNNNNNNNNNNNNNNNNNNNNNNNNNNNNNNNNNNNNNNNNNNNNNNNNNNNNNNNNNNNNNNNNNNNNNNNNNNNNNNNNNNNNNNNNNNNNNNNNNNNNNNNNNNNNNNNNNNNNNNNNNNNNNNNNNNNNNNNNNNNNNNNNNNNNNNNNNNNNNNNNNNNNNNNNNNNNNNNNNNNNNNNNNNNNNNNNNNNNNNNNNNNNNNNNNNNNNNNNNNNNNNNNNNNNNNNNNNNNNNNNNNNNNAAAAAAAUGUCGCAUGACGGCCCCCACCAGAAAAAGGAAAAAAAAUGAGAGAGGAGAGACACUGUGUGGGACUCACUAGGACACUUCACCUCCCUCCGGUGUUGUGUCGAAUAUGUUGUGUGUACUACGAUCGCUAUCCGAUGUGUGUACGACACAAAUAUGGAGCAUACAAAUUCAAAAUGAGAAAGAAAUCAAUGAGCCAUAUUAUGAUAGUUACCUGAUUCGCUCAAACCAUUGACGAACUCCGAUCUAGAUUGAUCACUCAAUUCGUUCCCGAUUUGUGACCCAAGGGCGAACCCAUAGGAACAUGGGUGUCCUUCAUGACCUCAUCGUUGCUGCUAGACCGUGCUAUCUCCGUCACCAUUAAUUGCAGGCAAGAUGGAGUAUCGGUCAACUAAUAGCACCGUCAAGGAGAGGCAUGGAUGUGUCGCUGGGAGAUGGGAAAGAGCAACAACCGGUAUGGACCAGCAUGCACACGACGCUGAGAAGACAUGGGGCAACCAGAAGCAGUUCGGUAGAAGAAGGUCGUGGGGCUUGGCUGGAGGAAGGAAGUGAGGAGUGGCGGUAGGUGGUUUCGCUCUCAUCAGCUUAGGGCAUGUACAACAGUAUAUAGUCAGCAGUCUGUAAAAUGUGCCAACUAGGAUUUUCAACCACGUGGAAGAGAGAGACGGAGGAAGGAGAAGGUGCCCGUCUGUAGAAAUAAAGACGGUAGGUUCCCAUAAAAUCGGCUGGUUACCAACACCUUUUUUACCGUUGUAUGGAUAGGUCGCCUGUUACGCUCCUAGAAAAACUUAUUUUCUCUUUUCUUUAUGUGCGAAACUAACCUCAUCACAACCAAAACUCCAGAUCAUGGGUGGAUGCGCCAGAUCGUCUAAUAGACAUCGUAUUUUACCGGGCGUCUUCUGUACCGUCUAUAAAGUGACGUGGAGGUAAUCUAUAGACAACGGCUAUCUAAACUGAUGUACAUGCCCUUAUCGGGGAGGUUGGACAGAAAUGGGGAGGGACUUCAACAGUUCAAAUCACUAUUCCAGCAUCCCAUGGUUCUUAUCAUGGGAGGGGAGUGACACUAGCUGGGGCGGCCCAACUGCUUGAUCAGACGUUUUCUCUUGAUCUUUUAUUCUUACAAAUAUACUUCCAUCUUUCCCACUCAAAAAAAUAAUAUGUCAUCUUUGAUUCACAAAACGUAAUCACGAAUACCAUUGAGCCGAUUAACGAAUCCUAUGUCCGAUUUGUGAAUCAGAAAUGUAUACUCCCUCCAUUUACUUAUAAAAGGCCACUAUGGAAAAUACACUUUACAUCUAUACAAGGCCAUCAACAGUAAUCGAGACAAAAGUUAAUGAUAUUUUCUCAAAAUAGCAACCUAUUUAAUACUUUGCAUGCAUGCAAUCAUAAUGACACUUCAAUCAGCUUUUUAUUCCUUCUUUAUAUGCAUGAUGUAUUAAUUUGAUGGAAAUAUGCCCUAGAGGAAUAAUAAAGUUGUUAUUUUAUAUUUCCUUAUAUCAUAAUAAAUUUUUGUUAUUCAUGCUAGAAUUGUAUUAACCGGAAACUUGAUACAUGUGUGGAUACAUAGACAAAAGUCGGUGUCCCUAGUAAGCCCUACUAGACUAGCUCGUUAAUUAAAGAUGGUUAAGUUUUCUAGCCAUAGACAUAUGCUGUCAUUUGAUGAAUGGGAUCACAUCAUUAGAAGAAUGAUGUGAUGGACAAGACCCAUCUGUUAGCUUAUCAUAUUGAUCGUCCAGUUUUAUUGCUAUUGCUUUCUUCAUGUCAAAUACAUAUUCCUUCGACUAUGAGAUUAUGCAACUCCCGGAUACCAGAGGAAUGCCUUGUGUGCUAUCAAACGUCACAAUAUAACUGGGUGAUUAUAAAGAUGCUCUACAGGUAUCUCCAAAGGUGUUUGUUGGAUUGGCAUAGAUCGAGAUUAGGGUUCGUCACUCCGAGUAUCGGAGAGGUAUCUCUGGGUCCUCUCGGUAAUGCACAUCAUAAGAAGCCUUGCAAGCAAUGUGACUAAUGAGUUAGUUGCGGGAUGAUGCAUGAUACGUCUCCAACGUAUCUACUUUUCCAAACACUUUUGCCGUUGUUUUGGACUCUAACUUGCAUGAUUUGAAUGGAACUAACCCGAACAGACGCUGUUUUCAGCAGAACUGCCAUGGUGUUAUUUUUGUGCAGAAAUAAAAGUUCUCAGAAUGACCUGAAAAUCCACGGAGACAUGUUUUGGCAUUAAUAAAAAAUAUUGGCGAAAGAAUCAACAUUAGGGGCCCACACCCUAUCGAUGAGGGUGCAGGGCGCGCUCCCUGCCUUGUGGGCCCCUUGGGACUCCACCGACCUCAACCCCAACUCCAUAUAUUCACUUUCGGGGAGGAAAAAAAUCAGAGAGAGGGAUUCAUCACGUUUUACGAUACGGAGCCGCCGCCAAGCCCUAAUCUUCCUCGGGAGGGCUGAUCUGGAGUCCGUUCGAGGCUCCGGAGAGGGGAAUCCGUCGCCAUCGUCAUCAUCAACCAUCCUCCAUCACCAAUUUCAUGAUACUCACCGCAGUGCAUGAGUAAUCCCAUCAUAGGCUUGCUGGAUGGUGAUGGGUUGGAUGAGAUUUACCAUGUAAUCGAGGUAGUUUUGUUAGUUUUGAUCCCUAGUAUCCAUUAUGUUCUAAGAUUGAUGUUGCUAUGACUUUUCCAUGCUUGAUGCUUGUCACUAGGGCCCGAGUGCCAUGAUUUCAGAUCUGAACCUAUUAUGUUUUCAUGAAUAUAUAUGAGUUCUUGAUCCUAUCUUGCAAGUCAAUAGUCACCUAUUAUGUGUUAUGAUCCGGCAACCCCGAAGUGACAAUAAUCGGGACCACGGUGAUGACCCUAGUUUGAGGAGUUCAUGUAUUCACUAAGUGCUAAUGCUUUGAUCUGGUACUCUAUUAAAAGGAGGCAUUAAUAUCCCUUAGUUUCCAUUAGGACCCAACUGCCACGGGAGGGUAGGACAAGAGAUUUCAUGCAAGUUCUUUUCCAUAAGCACGUAUGACUAUAUUCGGAAUACAUGCCUACAUUACAUUGAUGAACUGGAGCUAGUUCUGUGUCACCCUAUGUUAUAACUGUUGCAUGAGGAAUCGCAUCCGACACAAUUAUCCAUCACUGAUCCAUUGCCUACGAGCUUUUCACAUAUCGAUCUUUGCUUAGUUAUUUUUCCGUUGCCACUGUUACGAUUACUACAAAACUGCUACUGUUACUUUUGCCACUGUUACCGUUACUUCCAUAUUACUUUGCUACUAAAUAUUUUGCUGCAGAUAUUAAGUCUUUCAGGUGUGGUUGAAUUGUCAACUCAACUGCUAAUACUUGAGUAUAUUCUUUGGCUCCCCUUAUGUCGAAUCAAUAAAUUUGGGUUGAAUACUCUACCCUUGAAAACUUUUGCGAUCCCCUACACUUGUGGGUUAUCAAGACUAUUUUCUAGCGCCAUUGCUGAGGAGCAUACCUCUAUUCUUUGAGUCACUUGGGAUUCAUAUCUAUUGAUCACUAUGAGGAACUUGAAAGAUGAAAGAAGAUUUUUCCCUCAACUACGAGGGGAGGUAAGGAAAUGCCAUCUAGCUCUGCACUUGAUUCAUCUUCUGUUUUAAGUAAACUUGCGACACCUGCACCUGCUAUUGAUUCUGAUAUGUCGCAUGUUAUUGAUGAUGCCACUUCUGCUAUGUAUGAUUCUUAUGAUGAAACUACUUCUAUGCUUGAUAAUAUUGUGCCAUUAGGUGAAUUUCUUCAUGAACAACUUGUUAGGGUUAGAGAGAAACUGAUGAUAUUAAUGAAAGUGAUGAUGAAGAUUCCCCCCCUAGAUAUGAAUUGCCUGAUGUACCUGAGGGUUAUGUUAUGGAUGAAGAAACUGCUAGAGACUUUCUUGCUUGCAAUGAUAGAUAUGAUCUUAAGAAACUGUUAGCUAAGUUGAAAGAAAAGUCUCUGAAUGCUAGAAUGAAAUAUGACCCUGCUUUUGCUACUUCACCUAUCUGCGUUACUGAUAAGGAUUAUGAUUUCUCUGUCGAUCCUGAGUUAAUUACUUUGGUUAAAUCUAAUCCUUUUUAUGGCUAUGAAUCUGAAACUGUUGUGGCACAUCUUACUAAAUUGAAUGAUAUAUCCACCCUAUUUAGUCAUGAGGAAAAGAUUCGUUAUUACUACAUCCUUAAAUUGUUUCCUUUCUCACUAAAGGGUGAUGCUAAGAUAUGGUUUAAUUCUCUUGAUCCUAGUUGUGUGCGUAUUCCCCGAGAUAUGAUUUAUUAAUUCUCUGCUAAAUAUUUCCCCGCUCAUAAGAAACAAGCUUCCUUAAGGGAAAUAUAUAAUUUUGUGCAAAUUGAAGAAGAGAGUCUCCCACAAGCUUGGGGGAUGCUUCUCCAAUUACUUAAUGCUUUGCCUGAUCAUCCUCUCAAGAAAAAUGAAAUACUUGAUAUCUUUUAUAAUGGACUAACCAAUGCUUCCAGAGACCACCUGGAUAGUUGUGCUAGUUGUGUUUUCAGGGAAAGAACUGUUGAGCAAGCUGAAUUGCUAUUGAAUAAUAUAUUGAGCAAUGAUAAUGAUUGGACACUUCCUGAACCAACUCCUCAACCAACUCCGAAGAAAAAGGGGUAUUCUAUUUCUUAGUCCUGAAGAUAUGCAAGAGGCAAAGAAAUCUAUGAAAGAAAAAGGGAUUAAAGCUGAAGAUGUUAAGAAUUUACCACCUAUUGAAGAAAUACAUGGUCUUGAUAACCCAACAUAGGUAGUAAAGGUAAAUUCUCUCUAUAGACUUGAUGAAGGUGAUAUCCCUCGUAUAAGUCUGCUAGUCAAUGCUUGGAUGAGUUUGAUAAUUUUAUUGUUAAACAAGAAAACUUCAAUGCUGAUGUCGGUAGACAAUUGAAACAUGAUACGUCUUCGUUGUAUCUACUUUUUGAAACACUUUUGCCCUUGUUUUGGACUCUAACUUGCAUGAUUUGAAUGGAACUAACCCGGACUGACGCUAUUUUCAGCAGAACUGCCAUGGUGUUAUUUUUGUGCAGAAAUAAAAGUUCUCAGAAUGACCUGAAACUCUACGGAAGUUAUUUUUGGAAUUAAUAAAAAAUACCAGCGAAAGAAUCAAGACCAGGGGCCCCACACCCUGUCCACGAGGGUGGAGGGCGCCCCCCCCCUUCAGGGCAUGCCCCCUGCCUCAUGGGCCCCCUGGUGCUCCACCGACCUCAACUCCAACUCCAUAUAUUCAGGUUCAGGGAGAAAAAAUAGAAGAGAAGGAUUCAUCGCGUUUUAUGAUACGGAGCCGCUGCCAAGCCCUAAACUCUCUCGGGAGGGCUGAUCUGGUGUCCGUUCGGGGCUCCGGAGAGGGGAAUCCGUCGCCGUCGUCAUCAUCAACCAUCCUCCAUCACCAAUUUCAUGAUGCUCACCGUCGUGCGUGAGUAAUUCCAUCGUUGGCUUGCUAGACAGUGAUGGGUUGGAUGAGAUUUACCAUGUAAUUGAGUUAGUUUUGUUAGGGUUUACCAUGUACAGACUUGGGAAUCAAGAAGGGAAAACUGCGGCCGUGUUCGGCGUUGGCACCAAUCCAACACUCCCGGAUGGCUAUAUAAAGCAAAGCCGAGGAGGCAACGGGAGCACCAGAAAAACCCACCAGCCGCUGCGGCAAGAACAAGGAGGUAGACCCAGGAGGAGACGUGCCCGUGGCGGCGGAGAAGACGACGCGCCUAGCGGAGGAAACCAGAGGAGCGCGAUGGCGCCCUCGCACACACGCCCAUGGACGACGAGGAUGCAUGUUAAGCUCGGUGGAUACACCGGCGACGACGACGAUGGAGAUCUUCAGGACAUCCAUAUACAUAUAUGCAUCGUCAUUACGCAUGGUGGGUUUAUGGUACGCAUAUGUUUUCUCUGAUGUAUCAGGUGCAAUGGGGCGGCGCCACGCACCAAGCAGGCAGUCAAGACCUCACAUACGCACGCACAAGACGAAGCUAGCCACGCACGUCGUAGGCCAGGACCAGAACCUGGUGACGUGCCCCGGCGGCAGCGUCGAGGUGGAGAAGACGCGCCCCUAGCGGCAGCGUCGUCGACGAAGAUAGGCAGGAGGCGUCGCAGCUAAAGCAGCGACCGAGAUGACCGCGAUGCAUGCAGGAGGUGUUUCUCGCUGCAGGCAUCAACUAUGUUUUGUUUCUUUGUUUUAUCAGGUUUCAAAGAACGCACGCAUUAGAAGGAUGGAACGGAGGAGCUAGCGCAACUCACGCACCAAAGAGAUGACGCAUUCAUCAAGCAGCAGGAGGACGGAGCCAUCCAGGCAAGAAGGUGCCGCACAAAGAGAGCAAAAGAGGGAGACAGAGGCAGCCAGCGAGGCAAAAUCACCUCCCGUAGGCUCCUGCACACAGAGAAGACGAGGAGACGCACCCCUGGUGGCAGCGUCGAGAAGAUCGGAGAGCGCGCCCAUGCAGCGGCUCGUGCGCCAAGGGGAUGCAGGCAUGCGGCGACGACAUCCUCACACGGAAGCAAAGCAGCGAUGAGCAGAUGAAAGUGCCCGCGGGAGGACUUCCGGCGGUGCAAUAAUCUUGUUGUUUCUCUAUGUGUUAUUGCAGGAUGGCCAAAGGACAUGUUGAGUUCAUGAUGUACGUAUGCAUCACUACCGUCUUGCGGCGAGGCGAGAACACAUCCACGAGAGCCAGCAACAAGCACACAUCCGCAGGCUCCCGCACGCGCAGAGAAGACGAGGAGAUGCGCCCCUGGCCACAAUGUCAAGGAGAUCGGAGGGCGCGCACAUGCGACGACACGUACUCCAAGGGGAUGCAGUGACGGCAUCCUCACAUGGAAGCAGAGCAUCGACAAGCAGAUGAACGUGCCCGCGGGAGAACUUCCGGCAGUGCAAUAAUCUUACUUUUUCUAUGGUUAUCAUCUAUUUUGUAGAAUGACAUUCGCACGACGCGCCUAGCAGAGGUGGCCGAGGACGAUGGAGCACUCUUCUCAGCUUUGAGGAGGCGAACGACACGCCCAACGGAGGUGGCCGCGGACGAAGAGGCGCUCUUCUCGUACCAGGUGUUGUCGAGGCGACGGACGACACGCCCGGCGGUGGUGGCCGCGGACGAAGCGACACUCUUUCUCGUACCAGAGCCAAUGAAGACGGCGGACGAUGCAGGAAAAGGAGACUACAUCAACACCGUCAGGCCCAUAGCCAACAUCAUCAACCCAGUCCCGGAGGCGCAGAGCUCGCAAGGAUUCCGCCAUGUGCGCGGAGGAUGCCGUCGCCGUGCCGCAGUGGAUCGCGGCGCGGAGUUCGCCAAGAUGACGCCGGUGUCAACUUCAUCAAGCCGGCACCAUGGAGGAUGAAGGCAUGGAGGCUCGGGAGGAUGCCGCCGCCGUACCGCGGUGGAUGGCGCCAUGGAGUUCGCCAAGAUGACGCCAAUGUCAACAUCAUCAACCUGGUGCCGCAAGGAUCAUGACGGGGAGCUCACAAGAAGGACGCCGGCCAUCCACUUCGUCAUGUUGGAGCUAGAGGACGGAGGCGUGGCGUCCAUUGAGGAUGCCGCCGACAUCUACUUCGUCAAGCUGGAGCCCGAAGGCACGGAGCUCGCAGGGAUGGUGUCGCGUGCUGCUGAGGAUGGCGAGACGGAGCUCGCUAGGACGACGCCCAUCCUCUUCUUUAUCAAGUCGGCGCCAUGGAGGACAAAGGCGUGGAGGCUCGCAAUGAUGCCGCCACCGUGCCGCCUUGGAUGGCGGCGCGGAGCUCGCCAAGAGGACGCCCAUCACCAACACCCAGUACCGCAGAGAAUCGUGGCGUGGAGCUCGCAAGGAGGACACCACCAACGUCAACAUCAUCAAGCUGGACCGGAGGCAUGGAGCUCCCGAGGAUGCCACCGCGUGCCGCGAAGGACGACGGAGGCAUGGAGCUCGCGGGACAUCACCACCAAUGUGUACCUCGUCAAGAUGGAGCCCGCGACACGGAGCCAAUAAUAUAACACACACUCUCGAUAUUGUCUGCAACAUGGAGCCGCGAUGCGGUGCUGUCCGUGACCUGGAGGAGAAGAUGGUGCCAGAUGACGGUCUCCACGACCCGGAGCCCAUGAAGACGAGGCGUGAUGGCGAGGAGGCGACGUGACUUCACCAACACUAACUCCCGAUGGCCCCGUGAGGCGGUGCCCUUGUCUUGGACGACCGCCGUUAAACACGGCGUCCAGCCGAGAUGAGGCGCCAACCACACCGGCACUGCCGAUACGAACGAUUGUUGGUUUUACACCGACGCCGGUCUCCAUAAGAAUACUCCCGCGAGGCGAACCCCUUGCAUACCCGACGAAGCCGCUACAUCAUCGAGAAGUCCGAGCAGAGCAGGACCCAUGCAACUUCAACACCGACUAAAUCAACAUUGUCAAGACCGCCGAGGCGCGCCGGCGAGGGCGAACGUGGCCAGCACAAAGCCAUGUUUUGAGCGGCACGUUUACCGACGAGGACACGGGCUUUGCCGCCGCCCACUCCACACACACACCAGCAUCAUCAUGCAUGGAGAACUCGAAGCGAAGAUGACGAAGACGACCACACGGCUUAAUCGUAGGUAUCUCGCGGAGCAACCCGCGGGAGUAAUUAAUCGGGAGCUUUUCGAGGCCCCGGGAACCAGGAGACCGCACAUCGCCAUAGUCAGGCAGGCCGCGCUAGUAGGCCACGGGGUGCAUUGCUUUUUUAUGGGAUCUUGUAAUUUUGUUUAUCCGAUGAGAUUAAUGAAAUACUUGCUUCACAUACCAUUUUUUGUGUACUAUGUACACUGGCACGCCCGCACACUUUUCUUUUUCCCGGCGGAUGAGAGAAAUCCAUACUCCUUCUCUUCCCUAAUCACGGAGUGCGUAUAAGAUUUUUCUCGUGUCAAACAAAUUGGCACGCCCGCACACUUUUCUUUUCCCCGGCGCAUGAGGGAAAUCCAUACUCCUUCUCUUCCCUUCUCAUGGAGUGCUUAUAAGAUUUUUCCCGUGUCAAACAAAUUCAAGUGUCAUUUAUCCAAUUAACCCUCCAAUUAAAUGCGAAAGUACAAUAAAAAAAUGUUGGAUUUCAUGCUCACAAGAGAAGCUACAUUGUGUGCCCUUGCCAUUUGCGUUUAAUCAAAUUGUCCUUAGUAAAGAUGACUUUUCGACAUAGAAACUGAAGGAAUACCGUGUCAUGUAGAGGUAAUUUAUAUCAAAAUCAUUAAGAUGUAAAUCCAACUACUGUACCCAAUAAUGCCGAAUAUGCUAAGUGCAUAGAAAAAGAAUCAGUGGUAUGAAGCUCAUCCUACUUAAACAAGUCCUGCUCUCGAAGUUAGUUCUGCCUCUGUAACCUUGUAGGACAAUCUCAUUCCGGUCUACUAAAAUACUGACCAAUUUGGUCACUAGUGCGUACUUUUUUUACUUCCAAAUCUUGAACACCAAGAGCAUCUCCAGCCGCGCCCCCAACAGGCCCUCCCCAGGCAUUUUUUCCGCACCAGCGCCGAAAAAACGGCCCAGCAGCCCCCCAGAAGCCCGCUUUUCCCCGGCUCGGGCCGAAAUUGGUGUCGGCGGACCCAGGCAGAACCCGGCGCGGGCGCCUGGAGCGCCGGCACAAGUGAAAAGGGGCGUGUGGGUCCGCCCUGUCGGCGAGUCGAGCGCCUCUUUCCACCGUUUCUUCCCGCUUUUCCCCCACUUCCCUCCCAUUUGCCCCUUUCCUCCCGCCAUUCUCCCUCCCGCUCGCCUCCCAGUCGCCCGUCAUGCCGCCGAAGAAGUACGCCGUCCCCCACGCCGCGGCCACAGCUACCGCCUCCGUCGCCGCGCCGAAGCAGAGGAAGCCGAGGGUGCCGCCGUCAAAGCCGUCGGGCAUGUCGAACGCCGACUGGAGGGUGGAAGGACAGCGACGGGAGGCCAUCACCGCCUACCAGCGGAACAGGGCCCUUGCCAAGAAGGCCCAUGAAAACGCAGCGCGCGCGACUGCGGGCGCCGCUGCCGCUGCCGCUGACCAGGACGAGGCCGAGGCGGCUCGCGCGGGUAUGAUGAAUCCCCCCGUCAACCACGUGUAGUACGCGCCCUGGGGGUCGCUUGGCUACGCCGACGGGGACGCACACGAUGGGUUCAACCCCAACGUCGUGUUCCCCCAUGGCCACCCGGCCCAGCGCACGCCCUCGCCCGCCUUUGCCGGCGUGCAGUACCCUCCAUACAACUACUCGUCGCCCGUGUACGCGUCCUCCCCGACGCCCCUCUUCGCCAUUGCGCGCUGCCCUUCUCUCACCGCGGCGGCGCCGACGAGACCGACGCCGACAUGGACGAGAUCAUCGCGGAAGGUUCGGCCGCGGCCACCGCGUCCCCCGGGUUCACCACGGACGAGGCAGUGGAUCUCAGCGGUCGCAUGGAAGGCGAGCUCGGCUAUGUCUACGGCGAUGAGGAACAGGAGGAGCAGGACAAGGAGGACGAGGAGGACGAGGAGGAGCCGGCGAGGGGCUGCAAGAAGAAGAAGGCGCCGGCCAGGCCAGAGCCGCGCCUCAAGUGGGCGUCCAAAGAGGAGGAAUGCCUCGCCGAUGCAUGGAAAGUCGUCUGUCUCGACCCGACCACCGGCGCGAACCAGAGCCUCGAGACGUACUGGGCGCGCAUCAAGGCCGAGUUCGACGAGCGCAAGCUCGUCGACCCCUACUUCAAAGACGUCUACAUGCAGCGCGGGGCGAAGGCGAUGGCGAACCAUUGGGGGAGUAUCCAGGGGGCGUGCAACAAAUGGCACGGGAUCGUCAAGGAGGUCGCCGGUCGCCCGGAGAGCGGCGCCAGCAUGGAGGAUCAGGUAUGCCACGCCGUUCACCCGCCUCUUUUCGCCGUUCACAAAGGUGCCAAGAAGGGGAAACACGCUGACGCGGCCACAACUCGCAUGCAGGAGUCCAUCCAGCACUGCCUCGCCGACGCACAGGUCCGGGCCGCCCUUCGUGAAGAGAAGACCGAGGCGCGUUGGUCGGCGUUGAUGUUGACCAGCGCCGUCAAGAUCGACCUACUCCGGACCAAUGUUGCCGCGAAGAAGAGGAACACCAACCUGGUUUUCCUGCUCGAUAGGACAGACAUGCUCCAGAGAAACGACGAGGCGGUCAAGGCAUGGUACAGGGCGCAUGUCGGCCUCAUCCUGGACCAGCUUCCCUCGACGACGCCGCCCAUGCCCACAACACCAGCGCACACGCCGCCGCCGCCGCCAAGCCCGACUGGUGAUGAUGCCGAGACUGCCCGUAGCAUAGAUGCCACGCCGCCAAGCACAGAGCAUGAUGCCCCGUCAAGCCCACGCACGCCGACUCCGGCGACGCCGGAAGCCGACCUCGCCGCCUGAUGCGCGAUUCCGUCGCGGUGCCGAUACUGCCCGCUUUUUUGUACGCCGAACAUUUAACUCAUCCGGCCACUGAUCGCCGCUUGAUCGCCGAAUUAUGGCGUGUAUUUUGGGCGCGGGAACGACUAUGUUUGAAUUUUGCCGUGGCUUGGGGGGUGGGCUGGGGGCGUGACUGGGAGCUAGGCCGGCCCCAGGGGCCGAACUAGCGCCGGCUCGCCCCCAGGCCAUGGUUUUUCUGUGCCCUGGAGGGCCGAACGACUGGAGAUGCUCUAAGGCCACCUUGGUCUUUCGGAGUAACCAAAAUCUCUGACGUGCUAAAUGGUAUUUUGUAUGCUGAUUUGACUGCCAUAAUAAGUAAGAACAACAAAAAUCUAACCUCUUCCAUUUGGGAUCUAAAAAAGGUGAUCACAAAGAUUGGGAGGCUGCUCGACACUUAAUUAAUUAAGAACAAACACCCAUGAUAGGAUAAGUUUUUGGAUCGCUACUCAGGUGCUUCUCUAAAUUAUCUUUUUGAAUGCCAAAGUUCUUAAUAGGGAAUGAACCAUGCCUGCGACACAAAAGGUAUAUAUACUCUUAUAUGGGGUUAUCCAUCUUUUUUCCCGCGAGAGUAGAGUCGAGAUUAGUAGAAAUAGAAGGGGACCAUGAUGUAAGCAACCGCCUGAAAAGUAGUCUCCCAAGUCAUGUAAGCAACAACUUAUUAACGUCAACUACCACGUCAACUACCCAUUGACGUUGGAAGUGAGAGACCCAGAACGCAUGAUGUCAUGUUGCCGGCGCAUUUGUUGGGCAAUCUAAGGUCAGAAGUGUUGUUGCACCGUGGAGUACAGUCGCAGCAUCCACAUGUGCACCAUGUUCUUACACUUGUUCAAGGCCAUCUGCCCUAGGGCCUAUUGCUAUGCCUUUGGCGGCAUCUCAUGCCUCAACCGAUGCGUCAAUUCUCAUUUUGCCCACCACAACCUAAUUGCUUCGUCACUAUCAAACACUUUAUAUAUUACUGAAUCCAAAACCUGAAUGAAUAAUUGGGUAGAACAUGAAUGCAUGUUGAAGCCAACCAGCUCUAACGAAAUGGUAUGACGAACACACAACUUAAGUGCCUGACAAGUCUUUAGACAAGAGGAGGUUUGUUAUUUAGUUCUCUUAUAGAACUAUGCAAAUUCACCUAAUGUGGAAAACAAAAGCAAUUGAUCUCACCAUAGUUCAAUUAUUGCAUAUCAAUACGUCUCCAGGAAGGAAGAAGAGACGCACACAAAGAGAACUAUGCUAAAAACAUUAAUACAAGCUAGACGAAUAUGGUGGUGUUGGUGCAAUGGAGCAUUAGGGCAUCUCCAGCCGUUGGCCCCCUAGGAGGGGCAAAAAAUCGCCCCCUGGGGGCGCACCGGCGCUAAACCGCGCACUUGGGGCGUGAUGCCCCCCAGUCGCGGCGCCCACGGUUAGUCAAAAAAGUCAAACACGGCGCAAAAACGACUCAAAUUUAACGCAAACAUCGGCGAGUUCGUUCAAACUUAAAUAUAUUUUACAAAAAAAGAAAAAAAAUACCGUGGGCUACCCCCGCCGUCUCCCUCGCCGCCCGCCUUGCCGCCCGCCCACGCGGUUCUACAUGCCGAGGAGGCUGUAGAACCGCGUGUAGUCACCACCGUCGUCGUCAUCGUCGUCGUCGUCGUCGUCGCCGCCGCCUACGCCUCCGCCGUCCCUGCUGCAUCCCUCCCCCGGUUGGCGCGGCGAGUUGGACGGUCCGGGGGCGUCGUCGUCGUUGUUGUCAUCGCUGUCGAGGACCACGACGUCGUGCUCGUCCUCGCGCCCAUGCUUGCGGGCGGCGAUCUCCUCCAGGGCCCGGCGCUGCCGGACCAUCUCGUCGCGGAGGUAGUCGUCCCGCGCCCACUGCAUGGCGUCCUCGUCGGAGAAGCCGCGCCGGGCUAACUCCUCGUACUCCGCGGGGAGGCCGGGCUCCAGCUUGGGCUCGACGAGGACGAAGCAUCCGCCGGUGGGUGGAGAGGCGUUGGCGCCGAUGCGGACGCCGGAGCUGCGGGUGCACGCGCUGACCGGCGUGUCCUGGGGCUCCGGCUUGACGGGGCGGAGGCAGGGCGAGCCGCCGGACGAGGAGGAGGACCCCCCGGUCUCCAUGCGCCUCGGGGUCCAGGAGCUUCCCGACGACGUGAGAAGGAAGGGGGAGUGGGGUACUCGAGGCGCGGCGUGUUGCCGCCCUCGAUGUACUCGAGGACGACCUCCAACGUGUGCCCGGGCACACCCCACCACCGACGCCGGCCGGCGGCGUUGAGCCUGCCGGAGGGCACGACGCCGUUGGUGGCCUCGAGCUGCUGGGCGUGACGGCGGCGGAAGUAAGGGUCCCAGAGCGGGCUGUCGGGGACGUACCGUGGCCCCUCCCUCGCCGCACGCGGCAGGUUCGAGCGGAUGCGUGCGAUCUUAGCACGCCGCCCCGCGCUGGUGGGUACCGGGGGCACCGGCACGCCGCCCGCGCUGAUCCUCCACGCCCCGGGCACCCGCAUGUCCGGCGGGACCGGGUACUCGGCCUCGUAAAGGAGGCGAGCCUCGUCUUCAUGAAGAUGGCGGCGGCUGAAGCCGUUUGCCGCCGCGCCGUCGCCUGGGAAGCGCUCGGCCAUGGGUGUGAACUGGAGACGGCAAAAGAGAGGAGAGGAGAGGGAGGAACGAUGACGGCGGGAGAGUGUGAGUCGCCGAGUGCGCCGGGGCGCGUCAUAUAUAGGCCGAGGCGCGCGUGCCACCGUGUGUACGCGUGGCGGGCGAGGGAGGGCGAGGGACGCGCGUUGUCCGGUCUUCACUGCGCCACCCGUGAGGCAUCAAUGGUGCAGCCUGACCGGGCGGUAGCGCGCGGCAGCUUUGGCAUUGAUUCGCCACGGGAAACGAGGCGAUGAGGACGACGAAGGGCCGAGAAGAGAGCCGUGUCGCUGACGCGGCAGGCCCGCGGCUUUUUCACGCCAAAAUAGUUCGCCCUGCGCCCCCGGGCGCCCCCCAACGCGCCGGGUUCGGGUUGGGUCCGCCGGCGCUAUUUUCGGACCAAGCCGGCGAAAAUCGGGCUCCUGGGGGCGCGACUGGGCCGUUUUUUCGGCCCCGGCGCGAAAAAAACGUCUGGGGAGGCCUUCCUGGGGGUGCGGCUGAAGAUGCCCUUAGAACCCUGCCCUAGGGUUGACGAGCCUCUCGACCCGCAUGAUGACAUGUUUUCCGGUGGGUAUACUUGACUAGAAGACCCCAGGUGGGCCUCACCAUGUCUAUGAACACGUUGAACUGCCACUCAUUCACCGCUUCAAUCACCCGUUGCACCAAAUAAUUGGCAUAUUGGUGGAUCAUCAUACCCUACAUGACCAAGCAACCACACAAAGAUUAGUCAUGUACAUAUGGAUAAGUAAGAUCUUAAGAGGCAGAGAUAAAAGACCGUCUUGUAUCCUAGGAAAGCCUCUCUGGUCGCUCCUGGGACUCACAGGGCGAACGUUGCCGCCGACCGAGGAACCCUCCCCAGCGUGGAGGCGCAUCCCUCGACGACUGUGGAGGUGAGCUGGGCUGCUCCCAUCGGGUCCUGGUGGCGCGGCUCCUUGCGGGUGGUUGGCGGUCGUGGAGGUGGUUCCCGGCCACCGCUAGGGGCUAGAUCCACCAGAUCCUGCGGGCUCCAGGUCCGAUCUGGUGGCAUCCUUGGGCAAUGGCCCCUCCCUUGUGGGAGAAUCGAUUAUAACCCCCCUAGUUCAUCUGCCUUUGCUCAUACACUCCUUUCUUUGUCUGCCUUGCUUAUGAGCCCCUUGUUGCUCAAAUUUCUUGACCAUAGCACCCUUUUCAUGUUUAGCUAGACCAUUAUGCAACUAACAACGAUUCUCACCCCUCUGCAUCCACUGCUGCCAUUCCCAUGAGCUUGACAAACUCCGUGCAGUCAUCCCCACACCUCGGCCGCGCCUCCCACGAGGGACCUAAACGUCGUGUUGGUGCUUCUUCUACCGGCAACCCCAGCCCAAGCUCCUCCCGCCGGCAGCCCCAGCCCAAGCUCCUCCGCCGCCAUUCCUGUGAAGCUCAACAACCUCCGCGCAUGCGGGGCGGAAGGCCGGAUCCCCCUUGAAGCCUCCAGCGCCAUGGCGGCUUCUCCCUCCAUGCUGCAUCCACCGCCAUUGCCCGUCUCCAACCGAAUCCAGCUCUCUCUCCGCGCGCCCCGACUCGAAUCCCCUCCCCUUGUGGAAACAGACCAGAGGAUAUGCAUGCCUAGUCCCGUGAAGAAAAGACAAGGGAGAAUAUUUCAGUCUUUUGGUUAUCUGUAUAACAACUGAUUCGGAAUUAGGUGAUGAAUUAAUGCUUAAACUUGCAAAAGGGGCUUAUGAUCAAGAGGCAAAUCAAACAAAGGGGUUCAAAAGCAAGGCAGACAAAGAAAGGGGCGUAUGAGCAAGAAGAUGAACUAGGGGGGUUAUAAUCGAUUCUCCCCUCUCUCGUGGGUGGCCCUCGUGGCUGCUUCUUCAGGGUGCCCGAUUCCCAGAUCUAGGGUUCGUCUCCGUGUGGGUGCAAAGGGCAAGAUUUGGGUGCAGUGGGUGGUGGAUUUGCGCAAGUGCGGUAGUAGGGCGGCCGGCUGCGUGCUUGCGGUCCACCGUCAUGUGGGUGGUGGAUGAGGGUAGUUUCUAUUGGUCUCUAGAACGGCAGUUCUGGACGAUGGGCAGGAUGACAACAUUUCAGCGAGUGUCGCCAUGCGGGUGCUCUUAUGUCGCAUCGACUGCUUUGGCAGCGAGGUGGUCCAUUUGGGGGCAUCUGUCAUGCGGGUGUGUUCUUCACAGCCAUGCCGCUUUGCUUCGGGCGUCGUCUGCAUCUUGCCUUAGCCGCCCAUGGCUAAUGGACCUGGUAGGUGCGGUCUUUUCCCAAGCGGAAGUUUUUUCCCACUACAAGAAAUAUGUCAACUUGUGACCACCACUAUUGGUCACUAAAAGGUCACAAAUUUCCAUUUGCGACCUUUUUGUGACCAAAAACAGAAGGUCAAAAGCUGGCCGUCAUAAACUGACUAUAGCGACCUUUCUUCUGGAAUGGUCGAAGACGUUUAUGACCAAAAUACGUCUACUCUGGCGUUUUGGUCACUAGCAACCUCCCCAGGCCAUGUAGGCGUCCAGCGUGGCAAGCUGAUGUGGCACAAGAUUCAGCCCGGUCCAAUUCAGUUUUCCACAUGGGCCUAGCCCAACAAUUCGGCCUUUUUAAUGCAUUUUUUUCUUGUUAAUUUUCACUAGCUACAUGGGCUUGGGCCAUUAAUUCGGCUUUUUUCUAAGAUGCAGCCUUCUACUAAUUUUUUAUUUUUGUCCUUUUUUUUGCCACUAGUCCCACCAAUCAGAUUGGUCCCACUUGUCAUUCUUAUCAGAAAAUUGAUCCCACACAUCAAAAAUUUCAAAAUCUAUCAAACAACCAUUAUAACUUGGACCCCCUUAUCAGGUUUCCAUUUGACGGGUAUUCAAAUCACAUACACAAUCAUUAUCUCAAACAAUCCAAAUAGCAAAUGAAAUUCGUCCAAAACAACACGGCACUAGUCUAUUACAAACGUUACAGUAUACUACAGCCCAGAUAAGCCUACUACUGCCUACAUUUACAACACAUAAUAUGCUAGUCUUUGUUGAUAUGCUUCACAGCUUCGAACUUGGAUUCGCACUUCACCUGUGCAAUAAACAAGAAUGAACAUAUAAGAAUAAGAAUGUGUACAGAACAUCAAACAGUAGCCAAUGAGGGAUCCAAUAACUUAUAAGCAAGAAUUGACAGCAAAUGAGAUGUACAUAAAUAGUAUGACUAACACUAACCAGUAUGCGUUCAUGGAGUUACUAAAAUGUUCUCACUAGCUAGGAUUUUUAGUAUACAAUAUACUGACAUGUGCAACUCUCUAAACUGAUCAUAGAAAUGAAAACUGUAGGUGCGCUGCACGCCAGAUCAUCAUAUUUGAGCAUUAAUAUUUAUGUAUUACUACAACACUAGGAGUACACAUCAACUAGUAGCAGAACUAGAAGAAAUAACAAACCGAAGAUGGAUACAAACUAGUGACUAAGUACAAACUAUUAUGUCACUGCUCUCCUGCAAUUCUCUAUACAAAAAGACAAUGAAACAAAAAAGAUGGAACCAUCCACUGCCAUUCAUGCACAAAAUAUCGAACCAUCAACUGCCAGAAAAAAAACACGAAACACCAUCCACUUCAACCGCCACAAGUCACAUGGUAAAGGUUCAGACUAAACUGGGACAAAAUGCCAUGCCGCGGUCUAUGCUCUCGAUACAAACAGACACAAAACUACAAACAGCUAACGGUAAGAAGCGAAAAACUGUAACAUCUAAUGGUAUUGCAUACACACAGAAGCAUUAUAUACUCGUAUAUUGCAACGAGCGUUUGCCUCGAAUCCUUUAGGUAGAACCAUAGAGGCCAAAAAUGCUUUUCUGCAGAGACAAUCAAUAUAUGCAGAAAUUGCUGGCCUUUACAGUGCACAUGCUUGCAGGCUUAGCAGCUUGUGUGAGCUGGAAACUGGCCUGGUCAGUCAGGCACACAAUUAUGCAGCCGGUAAAAGGAACAAAUAAUUAAAAGAGCCAACAAGAACUCAUACAAAAGCAACUCAAUAAUACCAGGACGUCUUCCAUUGUUCUCUAUACAUUUUCCAUUCCAUGUUUGAAUUUGUUCCAUUUAUUAUUUGCCGCAGAAAAUGAAAUCACAAAGUCACAACAGUACAUUCAGACAUUUACUCCAUGAACAAACAGGUUGGCUGCUGGAGAGAGAUAAUCAAGCAGCUUACGCGGCAACUGGUCCAAGCCAAGAAAACAUGGGGAACAGGCAAGCGGCCAAUGCACGCCCAGCAGCAGCGCUGCCAUGCACUGGGCGCUCCCCUCCUUUCUACGACCCGAGAGCAGAGCGCAGCGACCAUAUGCGUGGCGAUACAGGUACACGGGCAGGCAGAGGUAGACGGCCUGGCUGGCCGCCCUGCUGCAAGAUAGACGGCGCGCGGCGCGCAUCUCCAUGCAUGCGCCGGACGGCCGGCAGCCCCCUGUUUUUAGAAAAGAUGGGAUUGCCGCCGAUGCUAUAGUAAACCAUCGCAGGAUGCAGCUGAGCUCGACGAAAAUGCCACAAAUGUAACAUCUAAUGGUUUUGUAUCCGUUGGCACAUGGUGUUUUUAGAGUGCACAUAGAGCAACAUUCAGUAUGACAUGAUUAUUAUUUAUUUUUUGACCAAAUUGCAUUCACUUUGACAUAAUAAAUUAGUAACAUCUAAUGCAAUACAUGAUGGAAACAGACCAACAGAGUGGGAGAGAGGGGAGUCACCACCUUGGCGGCCUUGGUGGGCAGGCCCUUGGACCUUCUGCUCCUUCAAACUCGCACCUUGGAGAUGGUCUGCACAAACCGCACCUCCAUGAACAAAUACUACAGAAUAAGAAGACAAGGGGAAGAUGGAUGAACAAGGGCAUAGUGCUGAACCUCCAUAGCUGCCAAAUCAGGCACCUUGGUGCGCUCGGUGGAGCGGGCUGGGGUACAGAUCUCCCUGUCGAAGUUUCCUGCAACCAACCCAAACCAACAGAGAAGAGAAGCAUUCAUUAGGGAAUGGAAGGGAAGGGGAUAGAUGAAGAGGAAAUAGAGAGAGGAGGGUGGACCUUGAUGCGGCGGCUGCUUCUGCUUUUCCUCGUGCUGGAGGAAGAAGGACAAUCCAUGGCGUCUCGAGCAGAGGAAGCUCCACUCCAUGGCGCCUGCCUACAGAACGAGACGAGACGGGGUCAGAGAGCGAGAGAAGAAGAGGAGGAGAAGGAGGGGAGUAGGGAUUCAUACCAAGCAUUGUCGUCGAUGCGAGCCCUGUGCCUGCGCCCUGCGGUCGGUCUCCAUGGCCGGCGGAUAGGGUUUCCGGCGCGGGCAGGGGUCGAGGGAGGGUGGGUCUGACCGCGGGCUGAGCAGCUCUAGCGGAUCUGCGUCCAUGGCGGCCUCCUUGCACAGAGAAGUACAGAGGGGAUUGAUACUUGAAAGAAAAAAAGGGAGACACAAACUGAGGAAGGAAGAAGAGCGGGGGAACACAUCGACCUGCGGGACUUCGGUCGACGGCGGAGCUGCUCCGGCGAGGCGCGAGGCCGAGGCAGCGGAGACCAAGGCUGGAUCGCGUUGGAUCUCCCUCCCUCGGGUUCUUCUCUACCUUCUGGUGAGGGAAGGGGAGGGGCGAGAGGAGGAGGGCGUGGGGGAUCAGAUCUCUUCUGAUGAGAGGAGGUGAGGGGAGGGGAGNNNNNNNNNNNNNNNNNNNNNNNNNNNNNNNNNNNNNNNNNNNNNNNNNNNNNNNNNNNNNNNNNNNNNNNNNNNNNNNNNNNNNNNNNNNNNNNNNNNNNNNNNNNNNNNNNNNNNNNNNNNNNNNNNNNNNNNNNNNNNNNNNNNNNNNNNNNNNNNNNNNNNNNNNNNNNNNNNNNNNNNNNNNNNNNNNNNNNNNNNNNNNNNNNNNNNNNNNNNNNNNNNNNNNNNNNNNNNNNNNNNNNNNNNNNNNNNNNNNNNNNNNNNNNNNNNNNNNNNNNNNNCGGUGCGGCGUGGGGGAGGCCAUGGAUGGCGGGAUGGUGGGGCGGUGGGUGGGCGGCGCGGCGGCGGGUAGGGUUUGGGAGGGAGACGAUGGUGGGAUGGGAUCGGGGUGGGUGGGAGACGAGUGGGAGGGAUGGGAUCGGGGUGGGUGGGGCCGUGUGGUUUCCCUUUUUAUUUAAUUUUUUAAUUUUUUGUUUUCUAUAGAUAGAUGGAUGGAUGUGGGAUGAUGGAUGGAUGGAUGGGCGCCAUGUCAUCGAUCCGUGUCAAACCAACUCCACCAAUGGGAAUAGAGUAUAUGUGAUUUGUGUUUUUUGUUUUGUUUUUCUUCUACUUUUACACAUGAAAAAAAAUCAAAAAAAUGGUCUCAUAUUGCGCACAAGGGUGCAUCUUGGAAUUCCAAACAAUGUUGCCUAAGGGAGUUUUCAUUUUCUUUGCACGGAAAAUUCAUUUUCCAUUUUCGGAGUGCCCGAAAUGAGGUUUUUUGUGAAGGAACUACCAAAUAAUUGUUGCAAAAAUGGACCAAAUCAAUUUUAUAAAAUACUAGGCCAUGUUUAAUGCACAAUUGACAAAAUGGUUGGGUGAAAAAAGUUUUGAUCCACCUCUGAUGAAAAAGACAAAUUGUCGUCGAUUCAGUUGGAAACGGGUCAAAUUUGAACUGUAGCUGCCUCAUAGUUUGCUCUUUAUUUUUUUCUAAAAAUCAUUUCUAGGUACAUAAGUAUCUAUUUAAUCAUAGAAACACCAAAAAAAUUCCAAGAUUCAACCACUAGCUAGGAACGGUCAAGCCCGCCAUUUUGACCGCAUUUUGAAACGGGCAUAAAAAAUUCAAAAGAAAUCAAAAAAUUGGAAAACCUUCACAUUGUGUCAUUAUAUGUGACCGAGUUUCUAGGAAAAAUAAUAAAUUUGUAAUACGGUAAUUAUUUUAAAAAAGUGUUCUCAGAAAUGAGCUAUCAAGUGUGAAGAUUCAUGGCUUUUCAAGCCAAAUGAUCAAUCUUAUGGCCACAUUCAUGGCAUAGUUUGUUCAAAUGAUCUAAUAUUGUGCACAAGGGUGCAUCUUGGAAUUCCAAACAAUGUUGCCUAAGGAAGUUUUCAUUUUCUUUGCACGGAAAAUUCAUUUUUCAUUUUCCGAGUGCCCGAAAUGAGGUUUUUUUGUGAAGGAACUACCAAAUGAUUGUUGCACAAAUGGACCAAAUCAAUUUUAUAAAAUACUAGGACAUAUAUAAUGCACAAUUGACAAAAUGGUUUGGUGAAAAAAGUUUUGAUCCACCUCUGAUGAAAAAGACAAAUUGUCGUCGAUUAAGUUGGAAACGGGUCAAAUUUGAAGUGUAGCUGCCUCAUAGUUUGCUCUUUAUUUUUUCCAAAAAUCAUUUCUAGUUACAUAAGGACCUAUUUAAUCAUAGAAACACCAAAAAAAUUCCAAGAUUCAACCACUAGCUAGGAACGGUCAAGCCCGCCGUUUUGACCGCAUUUUGAUACGAGCAUAAAAAAUUCAAAAAAAAUCAAAAAAUUGGAAAACCUUCCCAUUGUGUCAUUAUAUGUGACCAAGUUUCCAAGAAAAAUAAUAAACUUGUAAUACGGUAAUUAUUUUAAAAACGUGUUCUCAGAAAUGAGCUAUCAAGUGUGAAGAUUCAUGGCUUUCAAGCCAAAUGAUCAAUCUUAUGGCCACAUUCAUGGCAUAGUUUGUUCAAAUGAUCUAAUAUUGUGCACAAGGGUGCAUCUUGGAAUUCCAAACAAUGUUGCCUAAGGAAGUUUUCAUUUUCUUUGCACGGAAAAUUCAUUUUUCAUUUUUCGAGUGCCCGAAAUGAGGUUUUUUUGUGAAGGAAUUACCAAAUAAUUGUUGCACAAAUGGACCAAAUCAUUUUUAUAAAUAACUAGGCCAUAUUUAAUGCACAAUUGACAAAAUGGUUGGGUGAAAAAAGUUUUGAUCCACCUCUGAUGAAAAAGACAAAUUGUCGUUGAUUCAGUUGGAAACGGGUCAAAUUUGAACUGUAGCUGCCUCAUAGUUUGCCCUUUAUUUUUUCCAAAAAUCAUUUCUAGGUACAUAAGUAUCUAUUUAAUCAUAGAAACACCAAAAAAAUUCCAAGAUUCAACCACUAGCUAGGAACGGUCAAGCCCGCCGUUUUGAUCGCAUUUUGAAACGGGCAUAAAAAAUUCAAAAAAAAUCAAAAAAUUGGAAAACCUUCGCAUUGUGUCAUUAUAUGUGACCAAGUUUCCAGGAAAAAUAAUAAACUUGUAAUACGGUAAUUAUUUUAAAAAAGUGUUCUCAGAAAUGAGCUAUCAAGUGUGAAGAUUCAUGGCUUUCAAGCCAAGUGAUCAAUCUUAUGGCCACAUUCAUGGCAUAGUUUGUUCAAAUGAUAUCAUAUUGUGCACAAGGGUGCAUAUUGGAAUAGCAAACAAUGUUGCCUAAGGAAGUUUUCAUUUUCGUUGGACGAAAAAACCAUUUUCCAUUUUCCGAGUGCCCGAAAGGAAGGUUUUUUGUGAAGGAACUACCAAAUAAUUGUUGCAAAAUUGGACCAAAUCAUUUUUAUAAAAUACUAGGCCAUAUUUAAUGCACAAUUGACAAAAUGGUCUGGUGUAAUUUUUUUUGAUCCACCUCUCGUGAAAAAGACAAAUUUCUGCCGAUUCAGUUGGAAGCGGUUCAAAUUUGAACUGCAGCUGCCUCAUAGUUUGCUAUUUAUUUUUUCAAAAAAUCAUUUCUAGUUACAUAAGGACCUAUUUAAUCAUAAAUACAUGGUUUGGUGGCGAUACGUCGAGGUUUGGGCGGUGGCCGAGGGCCCCAACUCUAGAGCGCGUAAACUCGUAUGCCCGCCGCGUGGUCACCGCGUGACCGUGGCGUUGCCAUGUGUUCUGGGCGGCCUAGGCAUGUCUAGUGGGUUGGGCACUCCCCAGGUUGGUGCUAGAAAUAAAAUUACAACAUAAGAUUCUCACGAGGAGACCAAUCGAUGCUCAUACAUGAAUUAGCAGCCAAGUGUUUGAUUAGCGGUACGGGAAAUGUACAUGGCUAAUGGGCGUGAGUUUUGGCUGCGGAUGAUCAGUUACUAAGAAGACCGUUUUCACAAAUUUUCAGCUCAAAAGGAGGAGCCUAGGUGGUACUUGCUUUGCAAACUACCACACUGGACAUAACUACGAAUGUUGAAGCUCGGCUCAAAAUAAUGAAUGGAUUGAGCUAGCAUUUGGUGGAGGAUGGUUAUUUGGGCAUAGGAAAGCACUGUAGAAAAUGGAUGCUAUUUGGACAUGCCAAAGUGGUACUUCCUUCACAAACUGUUAUUCUGAACAGAAUAGGAAAAUGAAUAUUUUUGAAUUAUUUUUGAACUAGGCAAGGAAGGUUUUUACAUAUUUGACAAAGAUAUGACCCAAAGAAUUUAUGAGAUUUGUUUGGGAAUUUUGGCCAUGACAGAAAUAUAGGUUGCUUCACAACCUAGGGCAAAAACUGCCACAUGGACAUGACACAUAGGCAAAACUGAUGAGAUGGCACCUAGUCAUCGCAACCCACCACAAUUUACAAAGCUAUGACCAUCUAUAUUGCUCGUUAACAACUAGAAAUAAGGCAGCGAACUAGCGAUGUUUGCUUUAUGACCAUUUCCUCUAAUGAAAUUAUGACCUUUCUGACCAAAAUGGUCAUUAUGGUUUAGGGUUUAGAGCCCCCCAGACAGCUUUUGACCAAUUGGUCUAAAAUGGUUAUAAAUUUAUGACCAAUUCCUCGAGGGUCACUGACAGAAGGUCAUAAGUUGACAUAUUUCUUGUAGUGUCCGGCGAUGUCGGUGUCGGUGAUAGCGACGCUUCUAUGUGCUGUUCCCCUCCUUGGAGGUGUCACCAUGGGUGACCUGCAUCAACCAUGGGCUCUGGGUGAAAACUCUUAGUUUGACAUGUUCCAGACCGGGUGGUGGUGGCGUUGUGGGGUCGUUUCCUCCUUGAAGGCUCCUUCCUGUGAGCAAGUUCCCAUUUUACUAGUUUCUCGGGUAAUCUGUGUGGAUGACAACUUCUCCUCGCCAUGUUGAGGAGCCAUGCUUCAAUGGUAGCGCAUUGUUGAGGAGCUAGGAUCUACAAGCUGGAUGUGCUCAAAGGCCUCCCUCUAUUGUCUUGGCAUUAGCUUCCAUUUGUGCUCUAGGGUGUUGAGCACUCCAUCGCCCGACGGUGCAGCGCCCUUCGAGCUGGGGCGAGGAGCUAGGGGGCUCCUUAUGGCGAUGGAACAAGAUGGUACUGAUCUGCCGGACGCACAGGCAAUGGCAAUGGCAUAGCUUCCUCUGCCGGCUGGUCUCCUUCUCGAGUUAGCUUCCUUUGCGGCGUUGGUCCUCCCAUCAUGUUUGGAGGGCCCUGAUGUCUUGAUGUUCUGUUUUCUGAGCCUUGUUGCUGCUCCUGGGCAUCCAUGUAUCUUGCCGGAGUUUUUCUUUUGUUUCGUUGUAUAGCGGUGUAUUGUUGCGUUGGUUGUAAGGGGUUUAUCAAUUCCAGCCUCUUUUCCAAAAAGGGGCAGAGACCAAGAGAUGGUCGGUAGUUUGACCAUCGCCUGCACAGAGGAUCUCAUCUACGACUAGCUUGUGAUCGUCGUAGAGCUGCCGUAGAUUAGGCACUUCGACUUUGGAAGAGUGCUUUUGCUGGUUCAUAUGUACUAGUACUAUUCUCAUGACGAGGCCCUCCAUGCUCCACAACGUGCUACACCAUGUCCAUACAGGUAAAAAAAUUUGUUUAGCUGAGAUAUCAUUUCACGAAUUACAAACCACUCCAUACUGUACAUGUACAACAUAGUUUCCAUAUGGGUCUUUUUUCGAAAAAGGGAGCAAGCAUCGGCUUCUAUAUCGAGCGAUGCACACAGUCAUAUUAUUAAUUAUUUAACAAAGAUCUGACAAAAACAUAAACCAAACAACUCAAAGUCAUCACCCACACCUAGAAACUCAACAAUGGGGAAUGCCCCCAUGCCCGGUAACCGCCGAUCAGUUCGCAUGACGUACCAGAAGCAAACACCCGGUGCAGUAGAGCCAAAGCAUACACCACCUGUACACGCUUCAGAAGCCGCCACCACCAUCAUACUGCUAACCCAUCUUCAAGAAAGAGAUCCACAUCACCCUUGCCAAGCCGGUCAGCCGUCGAUGCCGUCACGGUGCCAAAUAUCACCACUGCCUCUGCACUCGUCCAUCAAGACGCAUCCACCGCCGAGACUCCAUUGCACCAUGCCUCUGAGGUCCGACGGCGUUGACACAGUAGAUACGACGCCGCUCCACCUCUGGACCCCUCCAGCCAACACUUGUUCCAACAACGAUGCCCCCAAGAGGGGGUGUGCUGCCAGACACCACCAUCAUCCAAACUGGGAGACCCAAAUUCAGGGUUUUCCCAAGAGAAAACGACCCUUCUCGGCAAGUCUACGCGGUGAUCCAACACGGCUACGCCUUCGCCCUUUCUCCGGCAAAGAUGAGUUUCAAAACAGUGCCUCCAAGAAGGUAGAUGAUGCCACAGGCUGCCACUGUCCGGCUCGGCAAGCCAAACCUGAGGUUUCCCUCUGAGCUUGAUGGGACCGCCACCGUGAUGAUGCGCUCCAAGGAGGUUAGCAGUGUCCGUAGACGUCGCCGCACCAUCUGCGCUGUGAAAAGAAAGCAAUGCAUAAGCUCUGGUUCCUGAUACUGUUCAAAAGUAGUGCAAAGAAAAGCGGUACUUCCCAGCAGAUCCGGGCAAAAGUUUUCUCCUCGGCGGUAGUCCCUCGAACCAGGAGAGCGGGAGGCAGAAGUGCUCGUCGGAGACGCCCACUAACGUAGAAGGAACGACUACUUCAAGCAAAACAAAUCCAGGAACAUUGCAUGUACCCAUCCAACCCGACUCGACUUGAGGAGCCGCCGUCACCGGAGAGAGGAUCCGGGCACGCCAGCCCUGGAUCUGUUAGGAAUAAGCCAUGCGUUCAUGUGUGUGCGUGUCUGUGGCCGUGGCGAUGUUGAGCAGGCCGCCUCCUGCGCAUUGGGCGCGCCGUGGGCGUGGCCAGGCGGAUCACCAGCACUCAUUUCUGUUGGAGAGUUUCCAGGGAGUAAGUGCACGUAGGGAGUAGCCACCGCAUGCGGUUAGUGGCUAAUGUGGUGGUUAGUCUGUUGUUGGCGAACUAGCGCAUGCAUGGGUUAGUGGCCGGGUCUUGGGUGAGUGCGUGAGUGUGCUGGUGUGUGUGCUAACCUAGGUAUAAAUAGCCCUCCGCUGUACUGCUCGGGUGUGCGUGUGGCUCAAGUUGUUGCUCGAGGAAAAGACUGUCGUUGCGGCAGGCAUAUGUGCGCCAGAAAAACACCACCGAGUCUUGUGUCUUCUUUUUCUUCUAUAUUCGUUCGUGCGAGAGAGAGAGAGCGAGAGGGAGCUGCGCACCGGCGCAAAGAGCAAGCUAGGGCUUGACGCCAACAGGAUCUGCCUCCAAUCCCUGCGGCCCAUCACCGUGCCAUCCUCCACGCGCCGGAGAACUCACACCCCAUGAUGCCCGGCCUGUGCCAUGCCCUAGCCGAUGACACUGGCCUGCGCGGGUCUCCCCGCGCAAGAGGACAAGAAAGCCCUGCUGCCGCCAGCGCCAACCAGGCUUCACCCGUCCACGCCCUUUGGUGGCGGUGAGGAAGUAUGGAGGAGGGGAGGGAACCGAUGGUGGCCGGAGUUGGAUGCCCCGGUGUGGCUGGAGGAGCCGCACGGGAGCAAUCCCCUUUUUUCUUGGAGAUUCUUUUUUUUUCAUAUGGGUCUACCAAUAGCUCGUUCAUGUAAUAUCAAGAAUCUUCGCUAUAAGGCAUGCAUAAUUUGUGGAUCUAUGAAGAACUUGAGUAUUUCUAGGAAAAUCAAGAUGGGAAGAAUAGUUAGUGAACAUCUAAAAACAAACAUCAAAAUAUGGAAGCCAGUCAAAAGUGCAAUGCUCAAACUGAAAACCUGAACGACAUGGCAUCUAAAAGGGUGGGAGGACAGCAGUUUAGCCUUACCACAUAUGCGUCUAUGGAUGAAUAGAAUAUAUUAUGAAGGUACAUAUUCUAUACAUUUCUGAACGAGGUUGUAUAUUAUGGAUGAAUAGACUGGUUGAUCACAGACGCAUAUCGUUGCUACCAAAAUCCUUAGCCAUCUCUAUCUACUAAUCAACGUCACUUAUUUCAGAAGCCUGAAGAAAUCAACACCGGAUUAGUGACAAAGCUCACGGCAAAAUGAUAUGGCAUAUCAUGGUACACACUAAAGCAGAAACAAACAAAACCAGUCUAAACUAUUUUGUGCAUUUCACAAAAUAUGAUAUGAUAUUUAUAGCAGAAGCUAUCUAAGAUAUAAGAACACCUCAACAAGAGAAUAAGAGAUAAUCAACAGUUCAUAAUCAACGUCUUGGUUAAAUUACAUUGUAGCUUACAUGAGCAUUACACAACAGUCACAUUUCUUAUUUCUUUCCAUCGCAAAAUGUUUGAAAAAUAUAGUGUCCAGUUUACCUUCUGGAUCACUCGACGACUAUAGAGAUGAAGGCUUUAAUCCAACACAUGUCCAAUUAUAUCAUCGAUAAGUUUCCUUUUCUAGAUCGGUGGUCCAUGCUCUAGAAGCUGUUGAAAAAAAGGUAAGAAUGUUAUUUUGUUAACAUUGAGGAAGCCCAACAUCCUAGAGCCUUAAGUUACAAAAGACAUGGGAAUUGGAGAAAGAAACCUUCUGGAUUACGUAAUUAGCAAGGACGUCCAUGACUAGUGUAUAGACAUGAAGUUGGAUUUCAUUGGAGGCAAGUUUGCGGCCAUAGGUAGGCUCUAGAAGCUUCUUGUUGUGCAUUGGUGCCCUCCUAUCACCCCUUGGUUGUGGGCGCCUAGGCACCCUGUGGGCCCUCGUGGCCCAAGUCCAGGUCUCCUAAUGCUCUUUGGUGCAAAAUCCAUCCUCAUAUUUUUAUUGAUUUUUUGAAGGUUUGAAAUACCUAUUUUUCUUGAAAAUGGAAAAUAGAAACUCACACGGGGUACUAUAUUCAUAGGUUAGUCCAAAUAAACUUUUUUACAUAAAUGGUGGAAAUGUGGUAUGAUCAAUGCAAAAGAUUAUAGAUACACUGAAGGUGUGUAGAUCAUUUAUUUUUAAAUUUAAUAUUGUCUGAAGCAGAUGCAAUGAAACAACAUUUUAUCAUGAGAUGGAGUUAACCUUCCUCAUGGUAAUAUGUGUUAAUAUAUUGCCAUAUGAGGCAAUUGUAAGCAAUUCUUAUUAUUAUACAUCAGACUUCCUAAGUUGCAAUCAUGUUCUUCCUUUCUUAUCAAUUUCAAAACUUACAAUGCAUUCUAUCCUCCACUGUGUACGUGAUAUCAUGCAAUUGAAUAAUAUUAGUGCUUCUGGCAAAUCCAAUGAGUUACAUUUUAUACAAAGAGCAAACAUAUUCAAGUAAACUUUUGUUAUUAACCACACAUCCAGAUAUUUUACAGCAAGAUAGUACAUACUUUCAGAAAAACAACCAGGAUCACAACGAUUCAGUACUCAAAAUAUAUUUGAAGUGCCAAAUUAUUUCACAACACAAAACUUAUUCUUGGCGCCCCAACUUUAGUUCGCCAUAGAAACAUAUCAAAUAUCCAUAGCAACGAAUGUUAGAGUUUUCAAGUCAAGGAGAACACAUGAAUUAUGCAUUACGGAAAUAUUGCAUAGAACACUAUGCUAUCUAUUUCAUACCAUCCACAUAGUAUGCCGUCUAUAAUAAAGUGGUUACUAUAACCAGGUCAUCAUUUCUCUUGAAGAACUGCAUCAUGAUGGCUUUAUUCUUCAUAAUCCCUGCUUGCUCACAGAAAGCCUUCCAUCCAGUCACUAGCACAAUUCUUCCAUCUUUGGGUGGUGCUUUCUUGUAUGUUCCGUCGAUUUCAAGAUUGAAAGUCUUGUACAUUACUAACAGUGUCAUUCCUUCAUUGCAAACAUCUAAUUCAUCAGCAACUUCUCGUGGUAUUUUCUGCAAUUGUGUGUUUUUCAGUUAGUAAUAAACGUUAGAAACAUCAUACAAAUAUAAGCUAUACAUCAUUUCUUGAUUUUCAUAUCAGAGCUAAAAUUAUUACCAUUUUUCCCAUGUCGCUUUGUGUUAUCCUAUGCACAAAUGAAGAAAUCGCGAAAGCACCAUAAGUUCUUAUGCAUUGAACCAAAUUAUCAUCUUCAUCUACCAUAAGACGACAACCUCUCGUCAUCACAACAUCAUCUAUAAUAUGUUUGACAUCAUCUUCAACACUCUGUGCAACUAAAACAUAAAGAAAAGUAAUCAGUUUCUCAAUUUAUUAUUCGGAAUAAAAAACACAUGUAUAGUGUGCAAACCUACGAACCUGCUGUCGGUGACCUGAUUUUAAAAACAUUUUCCUUACUUAUGGCAGCAACAAGCAAACCAUAUAUUGUAACUAUAAGUAGAACUUUAUCUCCCUCCAAUAGAUUGUAAUCAAAUAGAAACUCGUUCCAUCUAGCACCAUGAAUACUCGUGACAUCAAUCCUUUUAGUCACAUUGACCUUAUAGUGAAAACCUUCAGGGGUACAUAGGACAACUUUAUUUCCUGAGAUGCUGUUUACGGCUUCUCUCAUGUCACAUGUAAUAUUCUGUAAUUGAAAAUAAAUUAAUUACAACACCGCAAACAAAACUAAAAUAAAAUAAAUUUUGCUUCAGACAUAGACAAUUUUAUUACAUACCACACUUUUACAAAAUGUCUGGUGCAGAGUUACUUCAACACAACGUUUUGUUGUUCCAUCAUUACUGCAAUUCCCACGGUCAUUCUUGCAUGUCAGGCAGCAUGACUUCAAACAUUUGCAUGCAUAAACAUGUUAGUGAUGCCAUAUAAAAACUUAAAUUUGUUAAUCCUUAUUUAUUUAUGCGAUAUUAAUGUUAGAUAUACAGUAUGCAAUGGAGGAAAAUUUUAGUUUGUGAAAUUCGAGAGAUUAAAAUUCAAACACAUUUAGUGUACAUAAAUUUAAGAACUAGGAAUCCAAUAUUAUGUACAUUUCUCAUAUUAAGAAUCACAUAAUUGGUAAAUGCAUGUGCUUUGUAUAGCUGUCAAGUGGAAGGCAUUAUCUUAAAAAGAUCAACAUUCAAGAGCUACAUGCGCUAGAACACGAACAUUCAUCAAAAAUCGGACAUCAAAGAUGUAUUUUACACAUUUAGUGGAGGUUCUAUAUUAGUUCUUUUGUCAAGUUCUGUUUACAUGGUAUUAAUAUGUAAGAGUGCCAUAGUAGUAUUGAUAUUUUUGUGCUACAUAUAUAUUGAGAAGACAAAAUAAAAAAUAUUACCUACAAGAUAGAAGACGAUAGAAAUGUCCUUACUUCUUCAAUUUAAUAUACGAACAUAUGUAGACUUUAAUUUCGCUAAUUCUAAGAAUAAAGAACCAAAUAUAUUUUUUAUGUAAUUACAAGUAACUCAAAAAUAUAAGAAAUUACCCUGUAAAUAAUGUCUAUUAUAUAUUUUAAUCUUAUAAUCCCAUUUUGUUCCACAAUCACUAUCAUGCAUCAAACAUAAUAUAGCUGCUAGGGAGCCUGCACACGUCAUGUUGGCAACCGACAUGCAAUCCUCCUGAAAAUAUUGCUAAAUGGCAUCAAAAUCAGCAUAAACCUACAUAAAUCAUCUCUCUCUCUCUCUCUCUCACUCUCUCUCCUCUGGAAAAGCUCACACUAUUUCACACUAUACUUACCAUUGUAUCUUCUGAGAGAAGACAUCCUGAAACUGAUUCUCCCCUUGUUUAUAACGACGCCACUAGUAACUAAAAUAUUUUUAAAGAAACAAUAAUUCACCUCCUCCACACACUAGUUGGUUAUAAGACACAUGUUGUCAGGCAAUCUUAGAUGUUCAUCAAACACUAAGCUUAAAUAUAUCUUGAAAAUAGAUACUUUCCAAGUGACGAGCUGGAAGAUCAUGCGAAGACCACUAAUCAAUGGGCAUGAGAACUGUGUCACUUGACAUGAAGCCACCAUGUACCAAGUAUUGGGAGGUAUGCAGCCUAUGGUUGGCAAGGAAGAUGUCGUGAGAGGGGUUACCAAGGUGCAACAAGGGCGAGGAGGAGGGGCUAGGGCAACAGUUGGCUAAGGGAGAUGCAAAUAAAUAUGAGGUAAUGAAGGUGGAGCUGGUACCAUGCACCAAUGCCAUUGGUUGGGCCUUGGAAAUUUUCAAUGCCUAUAGUUGAUAUGAGACUUGGUUCUAAAUCUCGGAUUUUAAGCAUACCUAUUCCUCUGCCUCUCCAAUCAUCCUAAUGGACUAAGAAAACAAACCUAGCACAUCGGUAGUUAGAUAGCUGACUUGCAACACUAAUUCUUGAAGUCGAUUCUAUAUGAACAACUAUUUAAAUAAUAGAGCUCACUGCCUUCAUAUUGACUAUGUCGAACCCAAACUUCAUCCUCGAGCAUUCUACAUUGUUGCAAAUUUCCUCUCUUCCCGGGCAGGCUCACUGUCUAGGUGCAUCCUAGUUCUUGCUACAUGUUUGCGCACUUUCUGAUAGUAGACAACGCACGACACCUUUCCACCAAUGGCUAGAUCAUAUUUGAGAAACCAAGAACCAACACUCUAGCUCAAGAUACUAGAAGGGUUUCAACCUCACAUGUAGCUUAGUAAAAUUUACACCCUGAUAGUAGGUUGGUAGAAUUAUCAUUUUAUCUCCUCCAUUUAGUUGAUUUCCUCACUACGAUGUGGGGGGCAUAUUGAUGCAUUUUCGUGGUAAUUUUUUCUAUGCCUUGUUAUGUGGUACUUCUCAAGGUAGGUAUUGAGACUUAGUUUCUGCUUAGCUUGGGGCUUGAUCGAAUCCUGCCUCUGAACACUUGGAGGGGAGUGGAUGUGAUAUCUUAAAUAGAUCAUAUUGUUUUGUAACAAUCAUGGCAUAUACCUAAUUUGACCUUUAUGUCCAAUACAUUGUAACUACAAUCAUAGGUGACAAAAUUCUCCCUGCAAAGUUUUAAAUGCCUAGGUCAUCCUAAUAUAUCUAACACAAUCAUGUAUCACUCUAACUCAACAACAAUCCCCAAUCUAGAAUCCAAUAAGCCAAAUCUCACUUCUAAAACUAUAUUGAGUCAGUUGGGGAUGAACUAGGAAAUUGUGAUAGAAAGGACUGGUAGCAUACAAAGGGGACGCCUUAAUCACUUUCCACAAAAUAAAGAUAUUUAAAAUUGCAUGUACAACAACACAACUAUCAUUUGAAUAAAUUUACAAACUUGUAAGGAAUAUCAAACAAACCAAGUGGUUGGUUCACUCAUUAAUUGGUUAAUCCAUGAGAUCAACAACAAAUACAAAUAAUACAUAUGUUUGUCAUUACAUAUUGCAAUGACUUAUUAUCAAUUUUGGUUUUAUACAUAUAUUAACAAUAAUGGUAAUUUAGUAUUACGAUUUUUAAAAAAUUAUCCAAGAACAUUUUUUGAUUUAGUUAUAAAUUAAGUGGCCCCUUAAUUUCUCCAUGGUAAUUAUCAGGGUAGCUAUCGACACUUAAUUUGUUUUCCCGUUACAUAGCUUAAAGUUGUGCUUAAUAAGUGAUAUAAGGGAAAAACAAAUCUAUGAUAAUCUAUUGUCAUUAUAAAUAUUUAACAAUUUCUUGUAGUACUAUCGUAGAUUUGAUAUAUACAUAUUUCUUUCUGUAGGCGCUAGGCAAUAUACCCACGUUAGAAGCUUGAUUACAUGCAAUGAGUAACUCUGCCAUCAUUAAGUGUAACACACCGAAUUCAAAUCCCAACAUACACAACAUUCUUAGUAGAUAUUUUUAUGAACUAGCAAUGGUGUUUGUUAUCUCUCUCCCAUAGUUUGACAUUAUUUUAAUCUAACAAUGCUAUGAGGAACUAGGUCUCCACAUAGACCCUAUUAUUAGGAUCCUUGGGGAUCAUGAGCUCAAAAGGAUCUGGGCCCACGCCUAAGCCUAAUACACAAUGUGCUCUUAUGUAUAUAUAGGUGUAUGAUUGCAACACUAAAUCAUGAUGUGAUUUUGGUACUAACAUUAUAGCUGAGGAAGGUUGAAAUUUAUAUGCCAUGACCUUUAACAAGGCAUGGCCAUGGAGAGUCUUGUGAUGCUAACAUCGACAUAAAUUUUCUAGAGAUGGGUGUAAAAAAAUCUAUAGUGAGCCAGGGUUCCAUUCCAUCAUGUAGGUGAGGAAUGGUUAGCACGUUACGUUAGGUUUUGUUCACUUGAGAAUUUCCAACAUGAAUGGUUAGUAGCUUGAAUUUAUAGGAAAUAAUUGGAUGAUGAUGGUGUAAGAUAUUAGCUUCAUAAAUGGUAUCUUCCAUAGAUGGUAUUAGUAUUAUAACCUGACAAAGUUUAUAUAAGACACUUUCGUAGAAGCAAAAUAAAACUUGGUCAAAUUCACUACCAUUCAUGGAGGAUGUCCUUUGAUAGGAUCCUUGUCAUCUUACUAAAGUCAUCCCCAUAGUGUUUUUCUACCUCGCUAUUUUAUUAGUGGAAUUUAUGCUAUUGUUUUUAGUGGAGAGUUUUUGUGGGUGUUAAUUCAAAUAAAGUACAGAACCUUCCUUCACAUAGGUCACAAGGAAGGACUCUAGUGCAUGACAGCGCAUUCAAUUUUCCCUUGAUUCAAACUAGGUUAGAGAUAUGCUUAAAAUCAAUGAAAUUUAGUUUAUUUCUUUGAACAACUCUCUUAUUGACAAGAUAAUUACCUCUUCAAAUAUCUUAUCUAAUAUCACAAAUAAACAUAGUUACUCAACAUAAUAAGUUAUUAAACAUUACAAUGCAAUGUUAGUAAAUGUCACAUAAGUUACUGACCGAUUGUGAACGUUCUACAAAGACAAACAAAUUUGGAUUUCUGACAUGACCUUGCCAAGUUAAUCUCCUGAUUAAUGAUCCUUAAUGACUCUCGCUGUCGGUGAGGAAGGAUACCCACUCUAAGAAGGGGCACACACACACAUAGAGAGAGAGAGGGAGGGAGGGAGGGAGAAAGAGAGACGACACACCUGGACCUUAUUACAGGACCCGGUAUAUAAGUACUCCAAAGUCUUGCGCCCUCUGCACUCGAGUAGGAACAUGUAUGGGAUAAGGGUCGGGAUACCUACUUUAGGGAUUAUAUGGUCGCAGGAAAUUUUCACCUCAUAACAGUGAAACGUCUAAUCGUAUCGUAACCAUUGAAGGUUGGUACCAAACUAUCAACCUGGGCCUGGCUAUAUAAGGGCAGUACCAGCCCCCACCAAAGGGCGGAAGAUACGUGGGAGCUCAUACUCAUACCGUAACUCGAUAGAUAAGAAAAUGCCAUUGUAACAAUCUAUGGCCAUCAAUAAUCAUAGAUAGGCAUGAUAUAGGUUGUUAUGCAUACGGGGUCCUAAACCAAGGUAAAACGAUUAUGUCAUCGUCAUCACUAAUGAGAACCCUUCGGGCACCAUCCCUCUCUCUACAAUCUUCCAUGACGAAAUCGUAAGAUCAGUGAAGCAUUAUUCAUCAACGGUCACAUCAUAGAAGAAGGCUUGCAUUUUCAUUAGUUGAUAAUGUAAUGAGUGGGACUUACGGGUGUGCUUCCAUGUACUAGUCAUAAUGAUUCUGCUAAAACUAGUAUGGAUAGGAUCUUAUAGAUGCAAAAGAAGCAAGUAGAACCGUUUUUGAGAAUUCAUGAUCUCAUAUGCAACCAACUCAGCCAAUAAAACCGUGCAAGAUACUCAAUUUUGUACACUCAACUAUAAUUGAUAGCAGUCAAAGCAUCUUGAUACAUGUGUUUACUUACUAACAAAGUUACAACAAGGAUGUCUGGUGUAUUCGUCCGACCUAUGACCAUGGGAGCUUCAAUCACUACAACACUACAACUCACAUCCUUCAUAAAGCACAUUACUGAAGAGGUAAUCAUUAAAAUUGGGCUGGUUAAAAAUUUCACCAUUGCACAUCACUCUUCGCUCCAAUAAGCAGUCUUCGGUAAUUGAAGUAGGACUUUGAGGUUGCAUAAUCCUUUGGGCAUGUUGGGAUACAAGACUUAAAGGAUCAAUCAUGCCUUGUAUUAAAAUCACCUCGAAACGAAGUAUAUUGGUAUUGAAGCAUGCAUUUGAGGCAUUGGUCGCAGACCUAUUAAGGAGUUCCACUUUUGAUGCAUGUUUCUCCUUCAACUUACAUACUUGGAGGAAGCAUGUCGAACUAAGUAGUUUAUUUACCCCUUUGACCAACAGGGGUGCUUCUAGAGAAAUGAUCCAUUAACAAUGAAUGAUCUAACGUUGGUUGCCUAACACCCAGUGUUCAAGCCAGCAAUGGCUUCACUUGGACACUGCCAUACAUAAACUUUAGUGUGAAAACCAUGUAUGUAUUACUAGUAUGCUACGUGUUUGAAGAUUUGAACUAAGUCGUGCACCCGUACCAGCUGGUCCUGAUUGUUAAUGUAUUUUUUGCUAAUGCCUGACUACACGUAUGCACACAUUAAAACUACUAACAGUUACACGGGAUGAACCUCAAACCCUCGCGAUUAGGAGGCCACUUUUAUACAUGUGAUCUUGCACGAAGAUGGCACCAAAACAGGGCACAGACUGGCGUAUGCGCUGGCAAGGUAGCAAGCAACCAGUGAUAAUGAGCAAAGAUCAAAGAGGGUCUGGUGGCGGCCAUUGGUUGGCGAGGCAAGGUGGAGACCAGCGAGUCAGCAACCCACAAGGCCGCGGGUUGAUUAUGCAAAUGGUGUCGUAGAAAAGGAAGGGCAUGUAUAUAACAAAAGGUAAUAUGUUAUUGUUGUGACUGAAAUAAGCUCUACCAAUCCAAUAUUCAGUCCAUCUAAUGUUGUCCAAUUGAUGAUAGAAUAAUUAAUUAGUUUUAUCUUAGGAUUUCCUUAUACCUUGUCUCCUUUAUAACCUCUGCCACACCUUAAAAAUAGUGCUACAUCCGCCACUGCUCACACCCUAAGCUUCAUGGUCAUUUAAAGAUUGGUGUCAAGGAAGCAAUCCACACAUCUUGAAAGAUAAUCACAUUGCCUAUAACUCAGUGGUUUUCAUGAUAAGUAGGUGCCUAUGGCACGAGAGGAAUGCUAAGGUCUUCCAUAAUGUGUUGAUUGGUAGUAAGCCCUCAACAAUUUUCAUACAUGAAAACAAUAGGAUAAAAAAUUUGAAUUUUUUUAUCAAAGUGUAAGAUAAAUUUAAGAUACAUGCAUUGAUCAAAAACAUUGCGGGAAUGGGUCCUUCAUUUAUAGCGCCUAACAAGGAAAGUAUCAUCUUGUUGCGAGGGAGUGUAUUUCCCCUGAUGCCAUCUUGGCUUCCAUGGAGUUUGUGUCGCACAACAAACGAGUUAUGUUCCCGAAUCUAUGGUUCUUCUCUACUUAUUGCCUGGUCAUGACCCCCAUAUCUGCGGCAUGUAUAGUACAUUAAUUUUCAGCCCCGUCAACUAUGAUGGAACAAUCCCAUUGUCAACUUCCUGCUACAACUUGCAUGCCAUCACUAUUCUUUAUAUUCUAACAACUUAUUUGUCUCCUAGCACAUACUCAAUGGGGCUUCCUAAUCUAACACACUGACUAAAAUAGAAUUUUAUUUAUGUUUUAUUACGGAGGCUAUUUACUGGCCCAUCAAGGGAGAAAGUGAAAGACCCUAUACCAUUUUUCCAUAAAAAAAAUUAUGCUUCAAAUAAUGAAAAUUUGUUUCUUUCUAGGGAUAAUUCUACUGUUGGAAACAUCAUUAGCUUGUCUAAUAUAUUACCAAUUGAGUAUCACAAACUAAAAUAGUUACUCAACUCGAGAAGUUCAACAUUACAACACAUUGUUUGUAAAUUUUACACAAGUUCCCAACCAAUUGGAAAUUUUUUACAGACACAUAAAUUUAGAUCCUUUCGAGGGAGCUCACUAAAUUAACAUCAUGGUUAAUGGUCCCAGAUGGCUCUCACAUCAUAGAACAAGGUUGCAAUUCAGUAGUUCAUAGUGCCAUGAGUGUGAACAUAGAGGUUCUUCCAUGCCCUAGCCAUAUUGAUACAUUCAAAGCAAACAUGACAAGAAGUUGUAUAUGGAAAAGAAGCAAUUAGAAUCUUGUCCAAGCACUCAUAAUCCUAUAUGCUGCCAUCUUAACUGGUAUAACUAUACAAGACUUCUAAUUACACUUCACUGGAAUUGAUACCACUCAAAUAAUCUUGAGACAUGUUUUACUUAGUCAUAGAUUUAUAAUGUGGAUAUAAGGUGUUUGCACCCGGUCCCAAUCAUACAGGUGGAAUCACUACAACAUGGCGAGCUAAAAUAAUAUCUUCUGACGUAUGCAUCGCUCUUCGCUAAAAAAAGAAGGCUUUGGUAAUUGAAGCAUGACUUUGAGGUUGCAUCAUCCUUUGGGAAUGUUGAGAAAUAAUGAUUGAAAGAUGGGAGCAUGCCUUGUAUUAAGAACACCCCAAAAAGUAAGACCUUGGUCACUAAAGCAUGUCUUUGAGUCAUUGGUAGUGGACCAAUUGUGGAGCACCAUUCUUGAUGCCUUUAUGUACUUUAACUUCACAUAUUUGAAUAAAAGGUAUGGAUCAAAGUAUUUUGUUUAUCUAUUUUUAUCUCUUGGGGCUGCCACUAGAAGCAAUACUCUAUUAACAAUAAGUGGGCUAACCUUAGUUCUCUAACUCCCAAUGCUUCAUGUUCCUUUUAAGAUUAGUGUCAUGCAUAGGAGCCAAAUGUAGAUCCAGAAACACAAGCUCUAGGUAUACGAAGAAGUGGUUGUAAUGAAGAUUAGGUCCCUAUGGAAUGUGACAAACGCCAGCUUCUUCCAAAAUGAGCAGAUUAAUAGUCAAUCCUCAUCACAAUUCACACUUGAAAUCAAAGGAAGAGUAAAAAACUAAAGACCUUUUCUUUAAGUAUAGGAUAAAAAUGUAGAUAUAUGUGCUAAUCGGGCAAAUUGCAGGAAUGGAUUCUUGGUUUUAGUACAUACCUAGAAUAAGCCAGACAUUGUCCUUGCUUCUAGGAGUGUCCUACAACUGAGGUGGCUUGGCUUCCAUGGGAGUUUAAAUAGUUCAUGAAAUGACUGCAAUCCCUGGAUCUACGAUUCCCAUCCCCUAUUGCUCGACCGUUGCUUUGCGCUCGAGGCCAUCCAUGCAAAAAGUGAGCGAUUGCGCAUCCAUGAACCCGUGUCUCCAUGGCACGUGCGGUAGAUGUAUUUUUGGCUCAAACAGAUGUGUUGGGAUCAUUAUGUCGCCAACUUUUUGCAACCACAUACCUCACCACUGCCACUAUUGUUGCUUCCGAAGUUCUUUAACUUGUGACACAAACUAAAUGUACUUUAAUAUUUUGUAGCACUGGCAUGAAUAGAAGAUCUUUCAUUUCACCAAGCAGGCUAUGAAGUGGCCCAUUAAGGAAUAAAACACAAGAUGCAAAAACAAUUAUGUGAAAAAGGUAAAGAUCUUUCCCAACCCAUUCUCCUUCACUUAGGAGAGAGCAGUCGACACAUAUUUGUUUGCAUAAAUUUACAAAUAGAAGUACAAACGACACAACCAAUAUGUCAUUGUGCAUGUGGUGAGGAUGUGCCAUGUCGACCUAUCUAAAUGGGUAAAGUCCUUGUCAGUUGGUCGAGCAUAGCACUCAGGCUAGUGCACCAGCCUAAUUGGUACUCACAUAAAAGGCAUGGAACUUGGAGGUGACCAAUGCACGGCGCGGUUCGCCAGGACCGAAGGGUGACCCCACCAACGAUCUGAUCCAAGCCAUGCAACCCCAGCCCAUCCAAAUAUUCUAGAACACCAACAAUAGGGAGGACCUUCUCGGGGCAUCCAAGACAUUCUAGAACACACAGAAGCUAGUGUUUCUCACAUAUUCCCUCAUUUAUACUCUCUGCCAACAGUAACCCAAGCAAUCACUCUCUCUGAUGGUCCUCCCUAUUGUUGGUUAGCAAUCGAGCAAUACAAACUACCAAAGGUAGGAUUAGGGUCUUGCCUUCUCUAGCAGGGUCCAAGCCUGGGUAAAUCCCCUGUCUCGUGUCAUACCAAACUGAUCCUCCUCGUGUACCCCUUCAAACAAAUAAUUCAUCGCUCGAUGGCAUUGUCGGUCUCAAAACACCGCCAGUUCACUUAGCAAUUAGGGGGUGGUGAGCAGAGAUCCUUUGAUCGGCUCGGGAUGGCUCUCUCGACCAAGAUUGACGGACGCUCUCUAGGCCAAAAUCUUGACCUAUGUACUCUUUGCUUCUCCUCCAAGAGAGUUGAUUCCCAGAUCCUCGUAGUCCCCUUCACCAAGGGCUAGGCUUUUCUCUAUAGAGGUCGUAAUUUUGUCAUAGACAACUUCAACAAAUUUUGGUCCUAUGACCUCGACCCCGAUAGAGUUGAUGGAUCGACAAGCUACGAUUCCACUCACAAAGUCUUCAUGAUGGAGGCAGGCACGGUAUGAUUGCCAAAUUUGAUACCUUUUUUACCCCCAUCACCAAGAUGAACCCGAAGGGGGGCAACAGCUUGAAUCAGUGCCCAUCCAACUCACAGCCGAAUGGGACAAAUUCAAAUGCCAAAUGAAUGAGCUCGCGACCUAGUUUAGCGAGCGGGUGCAAGAGAUGUGCAAUCGUGCUAGUCGGGUCAAUUCUAAAUCCCCCCCCCCCCCGGGGAAGAAGAAGAGCAUCCUCAUUGUCGCCUCUCCAAAGUAGAAUCUUCUUGAGCCCGUAAUAGCCAUGGGCGGGAUCUAGAUACCCCCAAGGGCUUUUGGCCAUGACAAGCUCCAUGAAAUAUGCAUGCCGCUUGAGGAGACCAUUGUCCUAUAAGAGCAAUUCUCCAAGUCAAGGCAUGUUUAAUUUUGGCAAGAUCCAAGACUAGGCACAUGAAGAACCGACAGUCCCCAGGCCCUUCUGCUCACCGCUCAGGGGCUCCGAUCAUGUCCACAUCUAAUCCCAGGACAUGCACAAACUCGCCAUCGUCUGCCUCCCAUAAGGACAUAAGAUACCCUUAGAAGGGAAUUGAAGAGCAUCCACUACAUGCAGCACAACCCCUGAGCCUUGACACAAUGCGUCCAUCGUGAGGGUGAAACUCUUAGAGAAUACAUUGAGCAUUACUCCCAUGUGAAAAACUAAUUGUUUUGCCGACUGAUGCGGAGGUCAAUCUCCUUAUCCACCAAAAUUGUGUGCCUACUGAUAUUCCACAAGAUUGGGCGCAUGGCUAUCUGGACAGUGCAAGACCUCCUCGACCUUGCUAAUAGCUAUGUGACCAAACAUAUGAUAGUCUAUAGAAACCAUUACUGCGAGCACAAGCAUGAAGGAGAGGACGACUAGGCCACUACCAUGAAGCGCGGUCCAUCACAUCAUAAUUCCCGAGCCACCACCACCUUCGAUGAAAUCAUGGAUGGGCCCUACAUCUUCCAUACACCAAAAUCCAGCAGCAAGAUGAGGAGGUACAACUUCUGCGACAAGAUGACGAGGAACAAGGUCCCGCCAUCAUAUUAGGGCGUCAAGGUGAAGAGGUGCCCUAGAGGAUAAGGUGAUACUUUUGAUCUUUGUGGUCGCAGACACUACAAGUCCAAGCAUAGGAGCUAGGAAACAACUUGCGAGGUCCUCAUUGUUGAGCAUGUGGUAUCACACUACCUAAGGUGGUCAGACCAGCCAAGGGUCAGUCCGAUCGCGUGCUCGGAUCAGGACGUUCCUAGUGGUGGUGUAUCCCAUUCUCGAGGGAGUUAAACUUUCCAAUAUGCUCAUGGAUGGUGGGAGUGGACUCAACAUCCUCUACCUAAGACCCUCAAAGGAAUGAGAUCUCUCUCUCGAAUCAAGACCAAUGGAUUGCCCUUCCAUGGGAUCAUCUCGGGGUACGAGCAAUCACCCCCUGGAUAGAUUGCCCUUUGUGUGAACUUCGGCAACCAUGAUUACUUCAGGAUGGGAGUGCUUGCUCUUCGCGAUGGUUGACCUCUUGGGAUGCUACUACAGGAUCCUAUCGCAUAUGUAUUACACCAAAUUCAUGGUGGCAAUCCCUGACUAUGUCUACUUCAACAUAAAGGUUCCAGGCUCCAAGGGAGUCAUAGCUGUGCGCAACAACUUCGAGAAGGCAUACAAGUGUGAACAGUGUGAACCUCACUGAUGCUUUGGCCGCGGCAAAGUGGAAGGGCCCCAUUAUCCAGGGACAACCCCUGGGUGUUACAAUCCAAGAAAUCAUAGGUCGUAGUCCCACACCCUGAGACCCCAAGGUCUUAUGUGCCACUAAUUCCUUCUACGGCUACACUGAGGGCGGAAUCUAUCAGGACAUGAUUCAAGCGCCUUGGUGAGGAUAUUGCGAAGGUCGAUGAUGAGAUCCUAUUUUUUCCUAGUAAAGUAUCCUUGUACUUUCAGAUUAAAAUAUGUGUUCUCAUAUUCACUACAUGAAUAAAAAGUAGUUUAUCCUAAAUUAUGGACAUUACUCUCUGCUCAAGCCCCAAUGCUUGAAUGCUUUGCUUUGACAGCCAUGGCGUGUGCCCACCAAGCAUUCGGGGGAUUGACUUACCUCCCCUUGGUGCAUGUCACCGCCUUCAAUCCAUUCCCUCCUCGCUAUCAUCUCUCCUAGGAGCAUGUAAGGUACUCAAAAUAUAUCCCCUGACUCCGACCAACAUUCUAUGCCUUAGAGCUACUACGAGUUGGUAAGAGUGCACACGGAAGGUCCGCUUUACAAACAAAAGUGCAAUGAAAAACAUGCAAUGGAUACUAAGGGUUUGCUUUUUUAUUCAAGUCAUAUUUUGCAAACAUAACUUCGCACCACGAGUGUUGUAGCCACAAUAAUACCAAGAAGAGAUAAUCCUUGCUCUUUCUCAUCAUUUCCUAUGAGAUAGGGACAACUUCCUUUGCCUUCAUCGCAGUGAUGAUGCCCCCCACAAUCUUGUGGUCAGCACACAUGCUUGGUCGGUCAGGGUCACCACCUCUUCUUGGGGAGUCCCUUGGGAAAUCCCCAUCCAACAAUCUUUGUAUCAACCCUCGUGUAAACAGACAUGGCGGUGGUGAUCACUACCUCAACACCCUCUGUAUCAGCCUCCAUCACAGGUGCCUCAAACUUUGGGGGCUCCACGAAGCGUCUGCUACAAGAACGACGGGCUCGGGGACACGCAACCGCCUCACCAAAGUACACCGCAGGCACGAACACCUCCCACAGCAACUAUGUCAUCUCAGCAAGGGCCCUUUGUAGGUGCCAAACAAGCUACUCUGCCUCGUUCACCUCUUCAGACGGAGUUUUGCCAAAGUUGGAGUGGCAAGAACCCCGGCAAUCUGGUGGAAGAGUUUCUCCAUGCCACAUGCAACAUCAAGAUCCAAAUUUUCCCGAGUCGACAGACAACUCGGAUCAAGUGAAAACCCACACGAGGAGAAGGACAUCACCCUUAACAAGAGAUGUCACCCAUUUCGAUUCCUAAAGAGUGGUGUUGCUCUCCAGCUCAAUAACGCGGUUUUGCUUCGCUACUGCUUUGAGUUUCUUAUCGAGAUCCAACUCCUUGAGGAGCUUAUUGGCAUCCACCUGGUCGUGCUCCUAUCUAAAGGUACAAGACUUCAUAGCAUUAAGCUCAUCUCAGAGAACUCAAUCUAGGUCAUCCUCCUUUAUCAAUCCUAACGAUCUUCUACAAAGACAUCAUCCAAAAGAUGCUUAAGGACCCUACACUCUCCCUUGUUGGGUGAACCAUCAGCUCGGGUCCUACACCAAGUACAAGCGUCACUCAAGAAAAUUGGCAAAAAAGGAGGAACUUAGAUGAGCUAGAGAAGGAUUGCAAGCUAACUCUAGGUGAAUAUUCCUCAUCAUAUCCAGCAAACCGGGGAGUUGAGCGACGCUUCAACCUGCGCCUACAACUCCGCCCCUUGUCCAUGUUUGACUCAUGGUCCAACUUCUUAGCCAC